rnacentral:lncRNA from 1 species
CAAAUCAAAGAAUUGUUGGAAGAAUUGGAGAACGAUCAAGUGGCAGAGGAACCCGUUUGUAAGUUUCGCUUACCAAAUGUUUCUACAAAAAGAUUGGCGGCUAUAAGAAAUACUCAUUUAAUAGUGGCAGCACUUAUAGCCACCGUCACCUUCGCAGCGGCAAUAACUGUUCCUGGUGGUUUGGAGAGUGAAAAAGGGUCAAAGGAAGGCACUCCCUUUUUGAUUCAUGAGGCAGCCUUUAAAGUAUUUGUUGUAACAAACGCAUUGGCCUUUAUUUAUUCUGUUUCUGCCCUCUGCAUCUACUUUGGGGUUCUGGAUAAUCUAUUAUCAAGAUUUAAUUUUUGGCGUGAAACAAUUUUACAUCGAACUAAAGCUGUUUCUGGGCUUCUUGGCUAUGCAACAAUCGCGAUGAUGAUUGCUUUCAGCACAGGCAGUUAUGUGGUCUUAAAACCUUCCCACGGACUUGCCAUUGUUUCAUAUCUCAUAUGCCCUGCCUUCUUUUUCAUUCUGCAUUGGACUAUUUUUGAUUACUAUAUUAAGAGGAUAUUAUUUUAUCGUUGAUUACAAUAUGUUUCCAAUUCCUAAUGUCAAUGUUACCUCUUUGAAGAAAUAUUACUUUAAUAUUAAUAAUCUCCAUUUAAUUGAAAUCAAUAUAAAAUUAUUAGAUACACAUACAAUUUCAAAUAAAGUAAAAUUUAUUAAAUAUCAAAGAAUAAUAAAGAUGUGGCAAUUAACUCUCGGUUAUAAUUAAAAAUUAGUUACAUUAUAAUAAAGACAAUGAGAUUAAAAAAAAAUUCAAAGUUUUUGUGCAUUAGACUUUCAACAUUGUAACUUUAGCAUUUCGACUAUAACUUAAACUACGAAUCUCUAUUUUGAGCCCAUAAUAUAGUAAACUACUUCACAAAUCAAGCACCAAAACCUCAAGAAUGCAUCCAAAAAUAGCCUGGAAGUUUGACGUGAAAGUUGCUAAGAAAUCUUGAAACAAUCUGCUUUAUGUAAAUAGGUAAAUUUUUGCAUUUUCUAUAUUAUAUUAUCUUUGCCUUAUAAACAUACAUUAUUAGAUUAAAACUUGAGGAGAGACCCAGACAUAGUCACCUUAGCUUUAUUUUGUUUUUGCGUUUUAUUUUCUUUAUGAUUUUUUUUAAUUUUUUUUCUAGUUUAAGGUCAAUCAAAGUUUGAUUCAAUUAAUUUGUGAGACAUGAUUUGCACUUUAAUUCUUUUUUGUUCUUUGGUAUUCAUGCAUCUUCUAUUAUAAUUACAAUUGCUCAGGUUUGUUAGUAUUGAGUCAUCAACUAGAACUAAUUUAUUAAAAACAUUGAAGAUAUCAUUACAUCGAUGAUCGAACUUAAAAAAAUCAAUUGUAGAUUUUACCUUUGGGUAAAAUUACUUUCUUUGGUUCAGUUUUUAAUUUGAAUUUAGUUUUUUAUUUUAUAAAACCCUUUUUUUUUAUUUACCUUAGUGGUUCUUACUUAAGGAAUAUAAUUAUCACUAAUAUCUAUAUAUGUGGGUAUAAUUUUGCUUGUUGUUUUCUAUUAGUUUAUAUGUUUAAAUUAAUUUCAAUUUUAUAGGUCUCGAUAGUCUAACAACUCUCUUGGAUCUUCCUUGUUGAGCAUUUUUGAACUUCUUAAACCUUUGGCUUCAUUUUGAUCUGUAUUUAAAAACUUUGUUUAAGUUUCGAGAUAAAAGGGUUAUCUACUCUUGCAACUCUUCUAUAGUAGUGUUAUGAUUAGUGGACAUUACUUCUGUCACUUGUAAGGAAACACCCUUUUUUCCUCCGCUUCAAUUUUCUUUUUAUUUCAUCUAGAUUGAUCUCAUAGGUUUGUAGAAAUCCAAUUAACCCAUCAAUUCACAUAUUAUCAAUAUCUUUGGCUUCUCCAAUGAUUGUGACUUUGAUGUUGAAUUUCUUUAGAAAAGAUCAAAUCACACAAUUUGGAAUAGAACUUGUCAAUUGUUUCAUUAUCCUCCAUUUUUAGAGUUUUAAACCUUGUUAUGAGCAUUUGUAAUUUAGAUUGCUUCACAAUCUCUAUAACACCCCUAAACCCCGCCUGAACGUUAUGGCCGAAUCUGAAAUGUUACGAAGAAGAGUUUUGAAACCGAUCUUUACAUGAAAAAAACAACUCGUAUGGUAUGUUACUAGAAAAGAGUCCUUAUUUUAUAAAACAUAUCCAUUUAACAUUUUCUUUACUAAAACCAUCGAUAUUUUGUUCUUUAAGAAAAACUUAAUUUGCUGCAGAAAUCUUAAGUGUCAUUAUAUGUCGAAAACCAAGUUUGUGUUUCCCAAAAUGUUUGUUUGUGUAAAACCGUUAUUUAAAAAAAAGCGUCUGUUGUACAUUGCAGAAAACAUAAUCAAACCAAAAACAACAUCAAAAACCAAAAGAAAUCAAAAAGGACGGAGAGUCCCAAAAUUACAAAACUCUCAACAAAAACCAAAAAUUAAAAUAAAACCAAUAAUUAAAGGAUAGUUUCCAUACUAGUGGUCAUCGCUGAGCCUCCGUCGCACCGACCCACCUAUGUCUGAAGAUUACUUGAAUAAAGUAGACAAACAGAUGUGAGUUUUCAAAAACUCAAUGUGUAACUUAACAGAGACAUGCAUACACAUAAACUCAGAUUUCUCAUGUAAUAGAUCAGAUACAGGCAUAAGUCCUUAACAGAAUCAUAUAAUAUCAUAAUCGGAUUAUCAGAAACAUACAGAUAUGCAAAGUCCUACCCCCAUCCUCUACACACCAUCUCCGACCAUCCUAACACACCAUGUGGGGUAUAAAACACCCACCCAUCCCUACACACCACAUAAUGUCUUUAUAACACUUAUCAAGAAUAGUUUGCAGUCAAGCUGCCAGUAUAUCAGCAACAUGUUGCCUCACAGAACACUUCCUCCACAUAUACAAAUCCCACCCCAUACACAGAUAUAGAUAACAGAUAACAAAUAUAACAGAACUAACAUGUCCGGCAUCCUCAUAUACAAAUAUCAUACAUGUUAUUAUGAAAUAGUCAAAUCAUACAUAUCAACUUCUAAUUACUCAGAUUAGUCUAUCAAAAUAGCAGAUAUCAUGCAUUAGGGUUUGUUUUGCCCUUACUGACCCUAUGAAAGGCCCACAGUUGAUCGGGACGACGUGUGCGACCCUAAGGAAAAUUUUAGAAAUUUGGGCCCACACGCCCGAAACAGCCGGUCACACUGCCACACAUACUCCCGUCACACGGUUGUGUGGCAUCAACAGGCCACUUUUUCAACUUUCAUCGAACCUCGAUUUCUCGUGAUUUCAUUACACACCUGGUUCAAUUUUUAUGUGAAACAAUCUCGAGACCACCAAAACCUAAAAAUUGACAAUACAAGCCCUAAAAUCAGUCCUUAAUCCUCAAUUAAACCAAAACAAAAAAAUAAACUACAGUGAAACUCAAGUAUUUGCCACUUACCCAACUUCCCGAACAAUCCCGAUUAUGUUUCCGUAGGAAGAGAGUUUCGUUCCUCACGAUUCACUGCUACCAAUAAUCCACAAAUUAAUACUAACGAAAGACAACAUCGACUUAGAUCAACUUUAACAAUCGCCAGUAACCCGUGUAAAAUCUCACUACCUCUACUUACCUAGUCGCACGAAGAGAUUCAAAUUUCGAAGCAUCACAAUUUGAAUGGAGAAUCAUGACAAAAACUAAAAGAAAAGAAAGAGAAAGUUUUUGACAGAGGGAGAACAGAAGAAAGUUAGAAAAAGGAGAAUUUUUGGGAAAAAUAAAAUAAAAUCAAAAUAAAUCAAAAUUUAACACAUAUCUUAACUUCCCUCACUACUCAGAAUUUCACUACCACCGAACUUUAUCAUACAACUGAAGCAAAAAUUAAUAUUCACGCUCACACGGGGACUCAAACACAAAACCACAAGGCAAGUUAACACUUUACUAGUCAAACCAACAAACUCAUUCUAUUAUGACUUGACUAACAAUAGAAUAUAAGCCAAACCGCCAAGGAUAAAGCUAGGGUACAAAAUAACAUAAUUUUCCAAAAGAAAAACUUAAACCUAAGACCUCAAAUACACAAUCAGAACACUUAACCAUUGAAACAAAUACCCAUUUAUGAUAAAACUCACAGAAACAAAGUUAAAUUAGUUAGGGCGUUACAAUCUCCAUGCCUUGAUGGGCAAUCUCAGAGACUUCAAGCUAUAUAUAUAUAUGUGUGUCACUUGUCUUGAUAAGCCACAAGGUGUCUUGGAAUAAGUAAGGCAUUUUGUAAUUUUUCUUAAUUUGUAAUGUUUUUUUCUUUUAUCUUUGAAUGUUCCAAGGUAAUUGAUUAAUUGGUGUUUUCAAGGAAGAAAGCUGUGCAAUAGAUCAACAAAUAUGGGACCAACGUUAAACGAAAUUGUUAUUUCCUCCGGUGAAUCUGAGAAGCCUGCAGAGAACAUCACUUACAUGGAUGCUUCAUUGUAUAAAGCUGCAGCAAUAGGCAAAAUUGAAGAAUUCAAUAAUUACCAGAGGCCUGAACUUGAGUCGCUGAAGACCCCAAACCAUGACAACGUGCUCCAUGUUAACUUGUCAACCCCUGAGCGUAUCUGGCAACGUGCUCCAUGUUAACUGAAUUGUAAAUAAAUUAAAUUACAAGGUUGACGUUGUGACAUCGUUACUUUCUCGUUGUGACGUUGUCAAAUAGUUUGCCACAUCACGAUAUUGUAGCACCACUUAUUGUUUUGGCCUCGUCGAGAUGACGGUGUUUCUCAUAUCACUGUGACAUUAUAGGUCAUUUCUUGUCGUGGUGUCAUAUGCUAUUUCUACAAAAUUUUUCUUGAUUAUGUUAAAGUUGUAUGACCCAAAUCCUAUCACUUGUUCCUACAUUAAGAAAUUUUACUAACUUUGCUUGAAAACACAACAAGAAUAAAGUAAGUAGAAUUUUAUUUUGUUUAAAUAAAAUAAAGUAUAAGUUAAAGUGUUCAAGGAAUGAAAUAUGCAUGCUAUGACGCUUUUUGUUAUGCUAUGCUAAAGUGUUCAAUAAAGGAAUUAUGCAUCCUACGCUUUUGUUAUGCUAUGUUGAAGUGUUCAAGCAAUAAAUUAUAUAUAUUAUAUGUGUCACUUGUCUUGAUAAGCCACUAGGUGUCUUGGAAUAAGUAAGGCAUUUUGUAAUUUUUCUUAAUUUGUAAUAUUUUUUUUCUUUUAUCUUUGAAUGUUCCAAGCUAAUUAAAUAAUUGCUGUUAUCAAGGAAGAAAGCUGUGCAAUAGAUCGACAAAUAUGGAACCAUCGUUCAACCACAUUAUUAUUUCCUUUGGUGAACCUAAGAAGCCUGCAAACAACAUUAUUUACAUGGACGUGUCGUUGUAUAAAGCUGCAGCAGUAGGCAAAAUUGAAGAAUUCAAUAAUUACCCGAGGCCUGAACUUGAGUCGCUGAAGACCCCAAACCAUGACAACGUGCUCCAUGUUAACUUAUCAACCUCUGAGUGUAUCGGGCAACGUAGCAGAUCAGAUUUUAUCGAACAAAUCCUUUUCAAGUGUCCAUCACUGCUACGCCAAACAAAUGCGAAAGGUCAAACUCCCUUGCAUGUUGCAGCAAGGAAUGGGCAUUCUGCUAUUGUGAAACUCCUAAUCAAGUCUCGUGCCAAAGCUACUGAUGAAGAUUUAAAGAAGCUGGGAAUGGAUCAAUUGAAUGCAGUCAGGGAGAUGCUGAGGAAUACGGAUCAGGAAUCCAACACGGCUUUACAUGUUGCAGCAAGGUAUGGUCACGUCGAAGUGGUGCAAGAAUUGCUGGAGUUUGAAAACCCUGAUUUCCCAUAUUUUGUCAACAGAAAUCAGGAGACUCCACUUCACAUAGCAGCUAGGAGAGUAGAUAAGCUCUCACUGAUUAUACUAUUAGAUAAAUUGGACAGCUUUGCAUGCAGCAGCCAUGGCUGGAGAUGUCGGUACGUUAAGUUAGUUCCAAAUCAUUCUUGUUUGAAAUAAAUAAAGAAUCAAUUUAUUGACUUUUUUGUUUUGUUUUGCUUGGAUUCAGAGGCAACAAAGAUAAUAGUAGAGAAUAAAGGGGAUAUGACAAAGGAAACAGAUGAAAAUGGACACACCCCUCUUCACUAUGCUGCGCACUUAGGUCACGAUUCAGUUGUGGAAGAGCUGUUAAAAUGGGAUUUACUUGCUGCCUACGUAGGCGAUAAAGAGUGGGAAAUGACACCCCUUCUUAUGGCAGCCCGGCAAGGCCAUGGACAAAUAGUAACAAAGAUUCUCUCUUCUUGUCCGGGUUGCUGUGAAAAAGUGGACAAAAGGGGUUGGAUAACUUUUUCAUUUUGUGGAGUGAAAGUUUUCAAGACAACAUUUAAUAGAACUAUUCUAUAUUUUAUUAACUAAACAACUGAAUUUAAAUAGAAAAAAGAGUAUUAAUUUAAUUGGAAAAAUAAUUUCCUUAUUUUAAUAAACUACUAAAAGAUAAAAUCAAAUAUUCUUAGAAUAUUUCAAAUAAUUUAUUCUAAAAUUUAUCUACCUAAAUAAGAUUUAUCUACCUAAAUAACUUUAAAAUAUAUCCCAAAAUAUAUGCCUUUCACAUAUUUCAGCACAGAGAUCCUUCUUUAUUUACAAUUCUCCAACGUGAUAAUGGUUGUAGCACUAUAUAUGGGCUAGUAAAAAAUCUAAGGCAGUGGAAAAAUGCCCUCGGAAUCACACCUCAAGAAGUCUAUGACACAUGUCGUAGUCGUUUCCAUAUCACUGAUCAGCGUACAGAGAAAAUGGUAAAAUUUCUAUGGCCUAUGGCUAUGGUUUUACAUGCAUGUAUAUAAAAUACAAAGACCUAUACUACAAUACAAUCGACUAAAGUGGCAGGAGCAAAUUAUGGAAUUGUUGAAAGAUAUUACAAAUGAGGAAGUAGCCGAGAAACCAGUUCGUCCCAUACCUUCGAUAACUAUCUCUGCAGAUAGGUUGGAGAAGGAAAGAGAGGUUCAUUUAGUAGUGGCAGCACUUAUAGCCACCGUGACUUUCGCAGCAGCCAUAACCGUUCCAGGUGGUUUGAAAAAGGAAAAAGGGUCAGAGCAGGGCAUUCCUUUUCUCAUUCAUGAUGCAACUUUUAAAGCAUUUAUUGUAACCGAUGCAUUGGCCUUUCUUUUCUCCCUUUGUGCCCUCCUUUUCCAUUUUGGAAUGCUGCCUCCUUUUUCCUCAAUUCAGCGCCCUACUUUUCUGUCUCACGUCGGUGCCACUACGUUUCUUGGUUAUGCAACGUAUGCGAUGGUGAUUGCUUUCUGUACAACCAUUUAUGUGGUGUUAAAGCCUUCGUACGGGCUUUCCUUCGUUUGCUAAUCCAUGGCAUUGUUUUCCAUUAUUUGGUGGUGAUUGUACAUUAAAGAUGAAAGAGGGAAAUAGUCCUUCAUUAAAAUUGAGUUAUUAGAAUUCCGCGUAUUGGCCUAAUAGUUAGGGUGUUUAUUGUCUUUGGUGUCGCUUAAAUUCGAGUAGCGCUAGUCACCUUGCUAUUAAGGCUUUGUCCUCCUCUUAUAAUUCACAAAAAAAAAAAAAAUUGAGUUAUUAAAUGCUGAUUUAUGUUUUAUAAGUAUAAGGAUUAAUGAUAAAUUUAUAAAUAAUAUUAAGUGCACAAUUUUAAUUAAAUUAAUGAUUAAAAAUCAACUAAUAAAUUAUUUGAGUCAAAAGUUGAAUAUAAAAACACAGCAAGAAUAAGAUAAUAGAUUAAUGUUGUUUUGUUUGAAGUAAAAGUAUAAAAUUAGUAAAACACAUAGCAAGGAUGCUAUGCUAUGCUAAAAUGUUGAAGUAGGGAAUCGGUGCUUUCAUCAAUUAUGGAAUUAUAUAUGGUUUUCGUUUGUUUUGAUAACUUGUAGGUGAUUUGAAUGAAGCAUGUUAGAGUUAAACCCUAAAUUCUAAAACAUAAACUUUAAAUCGAAAGAAAACCUUAAAUAAAUGAGUAAAAAUAUAAUUAUUGUUAAUUAAAUGGUAAUUAAAAUAAAAAUAGUCAAAAUAAUAUAAUGAGUUUUAUCUGCUACAAUUUGUUACGACAAAUUAAAUUCUUUUCUGUAAUUAAUAAGCUUAUUUUUGAAUAAUUUGAUUACAUUUCUAUUAAUUUCUCAUUUUAGCAUUUUAUGUUCGAUUUCAAUAAAAUAAACAUUUUUACAUAGUUAGGUGUUUUAAUGGCCCGUUAGGCCAAUCAAAGCCUAAGAAACAACUAAUGGAUUAAUUGAGUGUGUAGGACAUCAUUUCGGGCCAAGAAAUUUGAAGAACGACCCCAAUGUCGCAACAUCCAUUAAUAGUGUUGUAACAACCAACUUCGAAAGUUAUAAUGGGGAUGCAAAGACGACAGUGUCGCAAAAAUGAACUUUGCAUGCAAGCUAGGAGAGUAAAAUCGAUGAUGUCGUGACACCCAACUUCGAGGCCAAAAAAGUCUCAUUCGAUGUCCGAUGUCUUGACAUCAGUCCUAUUGACACUGAUUCAACGAGGGCAAAAUACAACUGAGGAGGGUGUUUUCAUAUGCACAACUCAUCCUAACCCGUUAAUCACUUGCAUUUGAUCUAAUAAGAUCAUAAAAUACCAGAAUUAUAAAUAGAAUAGUUUAAGGUUUAAUUGGGGUUUUAUUCCCUUACUUAAUUUUCUAGCUUUAGGUUUUGUUAGAUUGGGAACUUCUAUUUUAGAUUCAAUUUUAAUUCGAGUUUUAAUUUCUUCAUCAAUCUUUAGUUUUUCUUUUGCAUUGGCUUUCAAUCGCUGUUUCCUCAACGAUUAUUAAGGGGUUUUUGUCUUCCAAGCACAAUCGGCAUAUCAACGAAUCAAAAUUAUAUUUUCCCCUCUUUCUAGUUUGCUAUUUGUUUUAAUGUCUGGAUUGAAUUUAAGGAAAAUUGUAUUUAGACUUAUGAGGAGCUAAACCAGUAGGAAGAUUAAAGAUCGAAGGUGGAAUUAAUUAACUGAGAAAUUAGAGUUUUCCUUAGAAUUAGUUGACUUAAAUUAUGUGUAAUUAAAUCUUAAGGUUGACAACUCUAAGAAGUUAUUUAGGUAAAUGAGGUCAAAAGAAUAGUUUAUCGAGUAUUUCCUAAUUUAAUUCGAUUUAAACUGCGAGGUCAAAAUAUAAGUAGUUUCUGACGAUUAAUUGAUCUAGUUACAGGCCGAAAGGUAAUAACUAGGUUAAUUAUUAACUAAUUCAUCAAAACCCGAAUUCUGAAGUUAAUUAUGAACACUGACAUGAGUUAAUCUUCUGUCUUUUACCGAGUGAAUUUCAAUUGUUAGUUUAGUUUUCUUUAAUUUACGGUAGUGUCACUACUUAAUUUUAUUUAGAUUUUUCGUACUAUAAUUUUAAAUUAUUAUUGUUUAAACCUGUUAGUGUAGAAAUUAAUCUCUAGUUUAAUCUAGCCUCUUUUGGUACAAUUUUUUGAAUACUUAGUUGUUCCAUUGUAACUUUUAUGUUAUAACCUGACUUGUAUAUUUGCGAACAUAACUAUUAUUUCAUAUAUUUUAUUUACAGUAUUUCCAGCCCCGAUAUUUACAUGUCGAGGCGAGUAAUCAGAGUUCCAACAACUCGUCCUUAGAAGUAAUAAAUAUUAAUAUUUUAAAUAGAUAUAGCCAAAAUAAUAUAAUGAGGUCCAUCAACUUGUGGUUGGAAGUAAUAAAUAUUAAUAUUUUAAAUAAAUGUAGCCAAAAUAAUAUAUUUAUGUCCAACAACUAGUCCUUGGAUGUAAUAAAUAUUAAUAUUUUAAAUAAACGUAGCCAAAAUAAAAUCCAACAACUCGUCCUUGGAAGUAUUAAAAUUUUGAUAUUAUUAUUAUUUUAAUAUUUUUAUAAAAAAUAAAAUAUAUAAGCAAUUUGAAUUUUAGUCAACAUGAUUUCAACGUUCUUAAAUUUAUCAUUUCAAUCAUAACAUUAUUUGUUUUUUUAUAAACAUUAACAUGGUAAUAUUUUUAUUUUGGUUUUUUCAAAAUAUUCACUGAAACAAGUCUAAUGAUUAAUCUUUCGUAUUCUGUAAGUCCAUUAAGAGGUAAGUGCUAAAGUAUAUAUAAAAUAUACUAAGUGUGUCUUAAUUUUAUCAUUUCAGUUAGAGCAUUGUUUAAUUCUUUUAAAAAACAUUUACAUAAAAUUUUCACUUACAAUGAAUGUGUCAUAAUUUAGUCAUAUAUAAAUUUAAAAGUGAUAAAUUUGUUUUUUGGGUACAUGAAGAAUGAUCAAAUCAUAACUAGACUAGAUGGGACCAAGUCAUUUCAAAGCAAUCAUUAUAUAUCUUUUGAAGGAUUUCAUCUGGAGUUGCAUAUAGCUAUAUAUGUCCAGAGGCCCUGAAAAUCCAUUAUUACCAGUCCAUCGGCUACUUAAUUACCCUAUCUGAAUACAUGAUGUGUCCCACUAAUCAUUCAAGCUCGUUGAGUAAUUUCUUUAAUGCUAACAAUUUAGUAAUUUAAUGAUCUUUAACAACCUUGUUUUCCGUAUUAUAUAAUUUUAAUUAAUAUUUUAUAAUUAAAAUUAAAAAUUUAUGUAUUCAAAUUAAUCCAAAUUCACCUAAGCUUUGAAUUAGAUUGAUAAACUACAUUUAGAUAAAUCUAUUUAUAACAACUUAAUUUUUAUUUAAAUUUAUAUAUAAUUCAAUAACAACUUAAUUUUGUAUUUAAAUUUAAAUAUAAAUCAAUCUUAUAAUAUUUGUAAUUAAUAUAGAGUAGUAAACUAUUCUUAGUCAUGAAUUAAUUUCUUCCACCCAUUCUUGGCUGCAAAACCAAAGACAAUGAGAUAAACAAAUAAAAAGAAAUCCUAGCCUUGAUUUAUGGUUUCAUUAAUUCUACCUUUUGGCCCACAAAAUGAAAAUAAUGACAAAAAGUUGUUCAAUUCUUGAUUGAGUCUUAGCUCAAUUGUUAUUGACAUUAUUACCGGUGUAAGAGGACGUGGGUUCGAAUGUGCUGAAACGUAUUAUCUUCUACCUUAUUUAGGCCAUUGUGCUCUUCAAAAAUUUGAAAUUUCGUUCUUAUAUUUUUAUUUUUAAAAAUUUAGUCCCUUUAUUUUUAAGAUCUUAAAAUUUAGGUCCAAUUGUUAAUUCUAUUGUUUUAACCUUGAAAAAUUUGUAGAUUGAGAUCACAUCCCUUUCAAAAUUUGCUGAAUUUUCAAAAAAAUAUGUUAAAUGUUUGAUGUGAUUUUUCAAAAACUUUACAGAAACUUGGUUGAAGAAUUAAUGGUUUCCAGUUGACAAGUUGACUUAGGCAUUACAGGAGAACUGAUAGUUUGAUGAAUCUAUUUGGUUAUAAAAUAUUUGUAUUGAUCACUCUGCAAGAGACUAAUUACAGGCAAGUAACAAACAGGAAAGACAUUUGGUAAUUUUCUGAAUUUCUAGCUUCUUUUUUUCUUCAGCUUAGAAUAUUCCAAGCUAACUAAUUAAUAUUUGUUUUGUGUUAUCUAGGAAGAAAGCUCUGCAAUAGAUCAACAAAAAUGGAACUAUCGAUAAACGUCAUGCCUAUGUCCUCCGGAAAACCUGAGGAACCUGAAGAGAACAUCACUUACAUGGAUGCUUCGUUGUACAAGGCAGCUGCAGAAGGCAACAUUGAAGUAUUCAAUAAUAAGCAGGGGCAUCAACUUGAGUCGCUAAAGACCCCAAACCAUGACAACGUGCUCCAUGUUAACUUGGCAACCCACGAGCUUGCUGCCUGGUUUUCUAAUGGAAUUCUCUCAAGAACUAGAUCCUUCCCCAAUUUAUAUUUAUUUGUCUAUUUGUUUUUGUGGAUUUUCAUUAUUAAGAAAACAAGUGAAAAAAGAUUAUAUUUUAUCGGACAAAUUCUUACCAAAUAUCCGUCACUACUACUCCAGACGAAUGCUAAAGGUCAGACUCCUUUGCACGUUGCAGCAAGGAAUGGACAUUCUGCUAUUGUGAAACUUCUAAUCAGCUCUUGCGCAAAAGCUAGAGUUGGAGAUUUAGAGAAUCUGGGAAUGGAUCAAGUAGUUGCAGUGAGGCAGAUGCUGAGGAUUACGGAUCAGGAAUCCAACACGGCUUUACAUGAAGCAGCACAGUAUGGCGAUGUUGAAAUGGUGGAAGAAUUGUUGAAGCUUGAACACCCCGUGGAAAGAUUGUUGGAGCUUGAAAAUCCUUAUUCUCCGUAUUCUGCCAACAAAAACCAGGAGACUCCACUUUACUUAGCAGCUCUGAGAGGAGAAGAGCCUUUGCUGAAUGUAAUAUUAAAUAAAUGGAAAUCAGCUGAUCAUGGUGGCCCUCAUGGUAGAACAACUUUGCAUGCAACAACUAUGGCCGAAGAUAAAGGUAUGUUGAGUUAGUUCCAUAUAUAUUUUUUGUAAUAAAUAAAGAAUAGAUUUAUUGACAGUUUUUUUGCUUGGAUUUAGAGGCAACAAGUAAAAUAUUAGAGAAGCAAGAGAAUUUGAGAAAGAAAAAAGAUAAAGAUGGGCACACCCCUCUUCAUUAUGCUGCACACAUAGGUUACAAUUCUGUUGUGGAAGUAUUGUUAGAAAAGGAUGUAUCAGCUGCCUAUAUAGGUGAUAAAAAGUUGGGGAUGACACCCCUUCUUGUGGCAGCCAGGGAAGGUAAUGUUGGAACAGUAAAAAAGAUUCUCUCUAAGUGUCCUGAUUGUUGUGAAAAAGUGGACAAAAGAGGUUUGAAUUUACUUCAUUAUUUGGCGUUUAGAGACCGUUCCUAUAAAUUAAGUCAUUCUCUUUUCAUGCCUGGUGGUACUAAGACUGAAUAUGGAUCAAUCAGAAAUCUAAGGAAGUUGAAAGGUGCCUUUGGAUUCACCCCUGAACAAGUUUAUGCAUUACUUCGAUAUGAGGGUCAUAACGAGAAAUAUCUGGAUGAAAAGGUGUGUAUUUCUAUGACUAUGGGUAUGGUUUUAUUAAUAAUUGGGUUUUGAAUUAACAUGUGGUGGUAUGGCAGAAGCAAGUCGAAGAAUUGUUGAAAGAAAUUGCAAGUGAAGAAGUAGCAGGGUUACAAGUUUCCCACAUUCCCUUACCAACUGUCCCUGCAGAAAGCUUGGAGAAGACAAGAGAUGCUCAUUUAGUAGUGGCAGCACUUAUAGCCACCGUCACAUUUGCAGCAGCAAUAACCGUACCUGGUGGUUUGAAUACUGAAAAAGGGUCAGAGCAGGGCACUCCUUUUCUGAUUGAUGAGGCAGCCUUUAAAGCAUUUGUCGUAACAAAUGCAUUAGCCUUUAUUCUCUCUGUUUCGGCCCUCUCCAUCCACUUUGGGAUUCUGGAUCCUCUUUUACCAAAACUAAAAUUUUGGGGUAUUAAUCUAAUAUUAUAUCGAACUCAGUCCGUUUCUAAUCUCCUUGGCCGUGCAAUGUUUGCGAUGGUGAUUGCUUUUAGCACCGGCAGUUAUGUGAUUUUAAAACCUUCUCAUGGACUUGCCAUCGCUUCAUGUUUCAUCUGCCCUGGCUUUUUUGUUUGUUAUUACGUACAACAAUCCCUAUCUUUCGUGAAGAGGUUGUUGGAGUGAUAAUAACGAAUUUCAUCACAAAUAUUAUAUUAUCUGUGACAAAUUUUAUAUGUCGCACUAAUUAUACCACAAUAGUCAUUAUUAUGAUAAUAGUUGUGACGGUUUAAAUAUUGUUUCUAUAAAUGUAUAAUGGUGACCUAAUCUAUUUGUCAUUAGCAAUUCUCUUUCUUCUUGAGUAAUUAUAUAAUAGUCACAACAUAUAAUUAUUCCGAACAAAAUUAGGCAUUUAUAAAGCUCAAACAAAAGCAUUUGAAUUUUUUGUAAUGAGAUGAAUAGAAGUUAUUAAUUCCGAGUUUUGUAAGUAGAGAUAAUCAAUUUUUACUAAAAGGUACUCAUAUUGUGUGAAAGACAAUAAAAAGAAGAGCUCAUGGAGGCCCAUGGUAGAACAACUUUGCAUGCAGCAGUACUGGCUGUAGAUGGCAGGCAAUUAGAUAUGCAAAUAUGUUAUCAACAACUUCAUUUAUUUCCCGAAAUAUAUGUGAAAGGGAAUUAAAUCUCUAUUUGAAGCCAAAAUGGAUGUGGUUCCAAGUGUUGAGCGGCAUAGGAAGUAAUCAAAAUAUAUGUUGCACUGCAAGGAAUUCAAGGCUGCCUUGUCCACAAAGGCUUAUAACUGCUAAGCACCUGCUCUUAAAUUUGAUUAUGGCCUAAUAAACAACAUAGGGCAGCAUUGACUUCACUACAAAGAGCUGUAGACCCCAUUUUCUUCCAUUCUUUGUCUUCAAUUCUUCUCCUCCUUUGCAGUUUCCUUAAACCCAAAUUUCAACCAGUCAAUUAAAUGUUUAAAUUUGAAAAUCCCCAUACACUUGAUGCUAUUUUCUUUUCUUUUUUUUGAAUUUAGCUAUGGAAUUUACAUCUUUUAUCAAUUUAGUUAUUUUUAUUAUUUUUUAAAUUAAAUUUGACUCUUCAUCUUUCAUAAUAGAGUUCAAUUUUACCAUAACACAAAGAGCUGUAGACCUCAUUUUCUUCCAUUCUUUUUUUCAAUUCUUCUCCUUCUUAGCAGUUUCCUUAAAAGCAAAUUUCACCAUAAAAAGCUCCUACAUCAUUGACCUGACCUCUAACCCUAUAUAUUACUAUUACUAAGCAAUAGUGUUCAAGUAUGAAAUUAUAUAUAGUUGUCGUUUGUAGGUGACUUAAGUGGAGGAUAUGCAAGCAACAAACAGGUAUUGCAUUUGGUAUAUUUCCUAAUUUGCAGUAUUUUUUUCUUGAGUUUGGAAUUUCAAAGCUAAUUAAUUAAAUUUUGUUUUGUGUUAUAUAUCUAGGAAGAAAGUUGUGCAAUAGAUCAUGGGAACAUCGAUAAACAUCAUGUUUAUAUCCUCCGGAAAACCUGAGGAACCUGAAGAGAACAUCACUUACAUGGAUGCUUCGUUGUACUAGGCAGCUGCAGAAGGCAACAUUGAGGUAUUCAAUAGGUACCCAGAGCUUGCACUUGAAUCGCAAACGACCCCAAGCACUGACAACGUGCUCCAUGUUAACUUGGCAACCCACGAGCUUGCUACCUGGUUUUCUAAUGAAAUUCUCUCAAUAACCAGAUACUUCCCCAAAUUAUAUUGUUUUCGUCUAUUUGUUUCAGUGGAUUUUCAUUAUUAACAAAAAAAGUGAAAAAAGAUAAGAUUUUAUAAUGACCCCAAACCAUGACAACGUGCUCCAUGCUAACUUGGCAACCGAGGAGACUGCUGCCUGGCUUUUAAACAGAUUUCUCUCAAUACUCAACUUCCUCCCCGUAAAAUAUGUAUUCAUCACCGUAGAAAAUGUACCAUCUAUCGGUCUUUGAUUAUUUUCAUUACUAUGAUAAGAGGAGAAAAGAGAUCAGAUUUUAUCGUACAAAUUCUCAGCAAGUGUCCGUCACUGCUAAUCCAAACGAAUGCUAAAGGUCAAACUCCUUUGCACGUUGCAGUAAGGUAUGGACAUUCUGCUAUUGUAAAACUUCUAACCAAGUCUUGUGCAAAAGCUAGAGAUGGAGAUUUAGAGAAACUGGGAAUGGAUCAGGUAAAUGCAGUGAGGGAGAUGCUAAGGAUUAGGGAUCAGGAAUCCAAUAUGGCUUUACAUGAAGCAGCACGGUGUGGCAUCCAUCAUGUUCCAUUACUAUUGUCAAAAUUACUGUUAUGCACACAACUUGACUUUGGCUGGUCACUCAUUAUCAAUGGCUCCAGUAUCAAAUUAGGGGUACUUAAUUGUGUUCUCUUGAAAUAUUGAAGAAACUAUUUGAAUACUGAAUACCAAAUUCGCGUUCCCAUUUUAGAAACUAUUUUAAUUUCUUUAAUUUGAAUAUCAAAUUCGAUCUAGGAUCAUCAAGCACUCUUAUUUUUUGAAUUAAUUUUGUAACGGAUUUAAGAUUAUAUUUCAUUUUCGGUUCCAUCUAAUAUGUUAUUAGUCCAAAUUAACACAUCUAUAUCUCUACUUGAUAGUCAAUCCUACCCCGGUAAUCAAGACAAGCUAUUUUUUAUUUUGUUUAAUGAAGAUCAUAUGUUAGAAGCUAAGAAAUUUAUCAAAGUAUAAGAAAUUUUUGAAUUAUUACUAUUUUAAUAUUUUUGUCUUUUAUAUAUUUUUUAAAAAUUAGAAAAUAUAAAAGCAAAUCAAAUCUAAGCUACUAUGACUUUAAUAAUGCUAAUUUUGUAAUUUCAACCAUAACACUAUUUUCUAAAAUAAAUAUUUACAUAAAUUUUUUUGUUACAUGAUAAAUAUGUGAGAAUUUUUUUUUUCUUAAGGUAUCCACUAAAGCAAGCAUAGUGAUUUAUUUUCCGCAUUUUCUAAACCUAUUAAGAGAGUAAAUGUUUAAAUAUAUAAAAAAUAUAUAUUAAGUGUCUCAUAAUUUUUAUUAAAAAUUAUUAAAAUUUAACAACCUAAAUCCGGCCUAGACAGAAAGACUAAGUUUGGGAUGUCUCAUGAGCUUACCAGAACACGGUUAUACUUAGAGCUGGCUUAAUCAAUACAUAUAGUCAAGUCUUUAAAAAAGACCAAUCAUUCAAAGCAUAAUUCACUCUUAAAACUUAAAGUCUGAAACCAAAUAAAUGAUUUAAACACACACGCAUAUAUUUAAAGUAAGUCCAAUAGAUGACCGAGUCCCUCGUCCGCCGGCCACUCAGUUCUAAGAGUUUCCUGAUAUCCAUUCAAUCCAGUUAGUGUGUUGCAACUUAAUAUACACAUAAAAAAAUUUGACAUGUUUAUAAUAACUCAGAUAUAAUUGGAAGUUCAGUCAGCAUACUCAAUCUUGAUCGGUCAAAUUAAUAAUUUAUUACAGUUUCGGAAACAAAACAGUUCUGGCACGCAACAAAUCUGAUACAGAAACAUGUACAGAUGUAAAUACGGAUACAAAUGUAAAUAUAGAUACAAAUGUAUUUAUCCUAACCCCCAUCCUCUAUACACCAUCUCCGACCAACCCAACACACCAGUAGGUAUAUAAUACCCGUCCAACCUUAUACACCCCAUAGUGUCGAUAUGACACGUUGCAGUGCUUACAGUCACGCUGCCAGUAUAGAUUCAAUUGUGGAUGGUUUAACCACCAAAUCAGUACAGAAAGCUUCCUCCAUUUCAUGAUCCCCGCCCAAUGCAAAUGUAGAGAGCAAAUGACAAAUAUAUAUGUUUCUUAUGCAAAUAUAAUCACAUAGUCCAGUAUAAUAGAGGGUUGAAAUUCUUAAUAAUUAUCUCAUACGGGUAUGUAGAAAAAGUUUAUAAUCAUGAUAAAACAGAUCAUAUAUAGUUCAGUUUAGUUCAUACAUAUCCUACAGACGGCUUACACUCAUCUCGUACAACAACUAUGGCGUUAAUAGAAAUUUUGUAAUUCAGGCUCACACACCCGUGUGGGUGCCCAUGUGGUUCCACACAGUCUGACACAUGGUCGCGUGGCUACCCGUGUGCCCCUAUUAAUCAAAUUAGUGAGUUACACGGUCUAAGCACACACUCGUGUGCUGCCUGUGUACCUCACACGGUUUGGCAUACGCCGCUGUCCCUUGCAUGUGAGUCCCUAAUAUAUAAAUAGUGAAUUACACGAUCUGGACACAUGCUUCUGUGCCCCCUGUGUGACCACUGCACCUUAAUUUCUCACACACGGUUUACCCCACGCCUGUGUGGCUCGCCUAUAUGUCUCCAAUCCGAAGUCAGUGAGUACACAGUCCACUACACGGUCAUGUGGCACACACGGCCUGCACACACGCCUGUGUGUCGUCGAUAGUCCCGUUUCUGGCAAAGAAAAAUGCAGAAAAGAAAGGGAUUUCUAUACCCACCUGUUACACGACGCUGUAGAAGCAUCCAAAUGCAAUUUCCAGUCCUAAAAUAAGUCCCAAACGCCCAAUUCAAUAAAGCAUUUGCAAAAUAUGCAAGUAACAACAAUCAAUGUUCAUCAAAACCGUCGACUCACUACACAAAAUGGAUGGAAGCCUACUUACCGCGAAUUCCCAGUACACGUUUAGUUCCUAAGUAAGGUGAGAAGCGUUAGGCAUCUUCCGGGUCUUCUCCUACAAUUCAUCGAAGUACCUGAAAUGACAAAACGAAUUAACUCAACGAAAUGAAAUUCAAAAGAAAAACCCCAAACAACAAAACCAUCACAACGAACAAAUUAAAAACACGAACUCUUAUCGUUAGCAACAAAAUCGACCACAGAAGAAUUCAAAUCAGCAUUAAUUGAUUUAAUCAGCAACAAAAAUAAUACGAGGCCAAUUGUCAAAAGAAACGGUAACUGAAGAAGAACAGAAAAAUAACGCAGGAGGGAAAUUUUAAGAAAACAAAUCAUAGAAUUUCAGGAAAAAAAACUAAUACACACAAAACAGAUAACCACUAAAACAAACACAUAUUUAUUAAAAUAAUUUAACAAGAAAACUCAAAUUUUUGUUGUGAAGUUGAUGAAAUUUUAUUAAAAAUGAUUGAAUGAAAAUAAAAAUUGAAAUCAGUAAAUCGAAGGAUUUAAACGUUGAUUAAUUAUGCUUAGUUUGAGAGAAAAUUUAAGUAGACAAUUUUAAUUCAAAUUAUGAAAAAAAUAAGUAACCAUCGCUAAUCGUAUAUAGCAAGAAUAGCAUAGUAAAAUUAUGGUGCUUUCAUCAAUUAUGGAAUCAUAUAUGGUUUUCAUUAAAUUUAAUAGCUAAAUUGCACUUUGUUCGAGGAUUUCAAUUAAAUUGAAAUUAGAAUGAAUAAACAUAGUAAAAAUAAUCAAUUUCCCUAUUGUUUUUUUAAAAUUAAAUUUGGCCUCAAUUUUUAAAAAAAUUGAAUUGUUAUUUUUCUAAUUAAAAUACUAAUUAAAAUUUUAAAAUUUUAAACAUACAGCCUGCAUGGUAAUUCGCUUGUACUUUAUGUUAAUUUGUUGAAUUUUUAUGAACCUAUUAUAAUUGUUUUUUGAAUUUUGAAUUUUUUUUAUUUUUUGAAUUUUUAAAUUAAUUAUUGACAUGACAUAUAAGAUAAUAAUGCUAUAUCAACAUGAACUACAAAUGGAUUGUUAUGCCAAAAUCGUUAAAUUUUUUUAUGUUAUAGUCAAUUUUUUUAAUUAAAAAAAUUAUUUAACUUUUUUUAAAAGGUUAAUAACCAAAAUUAAUUUAGUGGAUGCAUGCGUACGCAUUAUCUAUAAAGCAAGUUAAAAAAUGACGGAUUUGAUGUCUCUACUUUUCAACAAUUUAGUAUUUUAACCAUCACUAGCAACUUUGUUUUAGGGCCAUUUGAUUUCCUUUUUGUUACAAUUAAGUCAUUGUAUAAUAAUAUUUAUGGUAAGAUACACAAAUAGUUAUCAUUGUUUUGGUGAUUUGGGUUUAAUUUUUUUUAGUUAUUAAUAUUAUCGACAUUUGAUAUUUUGUUCACUCUUUCAUUAAAUCAUUAGCAGAAUGUUGACGCAACCUUUCUUUAUUAACAUAAUAAUAAAUUUAACCAUUUAAUAUCUACAAAUUCUAUUAAUCUGGUCCUAAUUCUAAAAAAUAAAUUUAGCUCUUAACUUUAUCCAUUAUGUCAAUUUAGUCUUGAUUCUUACAAAUUUAAAAUAAAACUUUAAAAAAAUUUAUUUAAAAAUUUUUAUCAAUAAAAAUACAUACAAAAUUAUAAAAUGCACAAAAAAAUAUAAAUUUUUUUUAAAGGUGAAUACUCAAUUUCUCUUUAAAGAAAAACACAAAUAAAAACUUAGAUCUAAUUUAUCAUUUGUUUUGUUGAAAAUGUGGUAAAUCUUAGGGAUUUUCAUUGUUGUAAGGGUGAAAAGAAAAUGUAGGGUUUAGUCUAAAUCACUCAAUAAUAACUAACAUCAUCAAAAUCUAGUGUGUAACAAUUUUCUCAGCUACCAGACACUGUAGACCCCAUUUUCUUCCAUUCUUUUCUUUAAUUCUUCUCCUUCUUUGCAGUUUCCUUAAAACCAAAUCUCACCAUAAAAAACUCCUACUUUAUUGCCUCACUUCUAACGCUAUAUAUUACUAUUACUAAAGUGUUCAACUAUAUAUAGUUGUCAUUUGUAGUUGACUUGAAUGCAGGAUUUGCAAGCAACUAACUGGUAUGGCAUCUGGUAAAUUUCUGAUUUUGCAGUACUUUUUUCCUGAGCUUCGAAUGUUUCAAGCUAAUUAACUCAACUUUGUUUGGUGUUAUCCAGGAAGAAAUAGAUCAACAAAAAUGGGACCCGAAGAGCCUGAAGAGAACAUCACUCACAUGGAUGCUUGGCUGUAUAAGGCAGCAGCAGAAGGCAACGUUGAAGUAUUCAAUAAUAACCAGGAGCUUCAACUUGAGUUGCUAAAGACCCCAAACCAUGACAACGUGCUCCAUCUUAACUUGGCAACCAAGGAGAAUGUUCUCUGGCUUUUUAACAGAUUUCACACAAUAUUCGAAGAAUUCCCCGCAGAAUAUGUAUUAUUCCAUCGGUGUUUGAGUAUUUUCAUUACUAUGAUAAAAAGAGAAAAGAGAUCAGAUUUUAUCGGACAAAUUCUCAGCAAGUGUCCGUCACUGCUACAACAAACGAAUGCUAAAGGUCAAACUCCUUUGCACGUUGCAGCAAGGUAUGGACAUUCUGCUAUUGUGAAACUUCUAAUCAAGUCUUGUGCAAAAGCCAGAGAUGGAGAUUUAGAGAAGCUGGGAACGGAUCAAGUAAAUGCAGUGAGGGAGAUGCUGAGGAUUACGGAUCAGGAAUCCAACACGGCUUUACAUGAAGCAGCAGGGUGUGGCAAUGUCAAAGUGGUGAAAGCAUUGUUGGAGUUUGAAGACCCUGAUUUUCCGUAUUCUGCCAACAAAAAACAGGAGACUCCACUUUACAUAGCAGCUAGGAGGCGAGGAUCUGGGCGCUUGUUGACUCUAUUAUUAGAUAAAUUCAGAUCAGCAGCAGCUGAUGGCGGCCCCCAGGGUAGAACAGCUUUGCAUGCAGCAGCUAUGGCUGGAGAUGCAGGUAUGUUGUUGAGUUAGUUCCUUUUUUUUUUUUUUUUUUAAUUUUGAAAUAAAUAAACAGCAGGUCUAUUGACAUUUUUUUUUUUUGCUUGGAUUUAGAGGCAGUAAAGGUAAUAUUAAAGAAGAAGGGGAAUUUGACAAAGGAAAGAGAUGAAGAUGGACGCACCCCUCUUCAUUAUGCUGCACACUUUGGUUCUAGAUUAUCAGUUGUGGAAGAACUGUUAAAAAGGGAUGUAUCAGCUGCCUAUAUAGGUGAUAAAAAGAGGGGGAUGACACCCCUUCUUAUGGCAGCCAGGCAAGGUAAUGCUGGAAUAAUUUCGAAGAUUCUCUCUUUAUGUCCAGAUUGUUGUGAAGAAGUGGACAAUAAAUGUUUGAAUUUACUUCAUUAUCUGGCAUUUAGAGGCUCUUCCACUCUAUUUGGGCGUUCUUUUUUCAAGCUUGGUGGUAUUAAGAUUGCAUAUGGAUCACUCAGAAAUCUGAUGGAGUUGGAAGGUGACUUUGGGAUGACACCUCAAGAAGUUUAUAAUGCACUUCAAGAUGAGAAACAUCAUCAUAAACAGGUCAUGUGUUUGCCCAUAUAUAUUGCAUUUCCAUGGCUAUGGUUUUAUUAAUAUUUAAGUUUUGAAUUAACAUAUUUAAUAAACUUACAAUAAGACCUGCUAAUGUGGGUGGCAUUGCAGAAGCAAAUCAAAAAAUUGUUGGAAGAAAUUGAGAAUGAUCAAGUGGCGGAGGAACCAGUUCAUCGCUUUCUUUCACGAAAUGUUUCUACAGAAAGCUCGGAGAUGACAAUAAAUGCUCAUUUAAUAGUGGCAGCACUUAUAUAUACCGUCGCAUUCGCAGCAGCAAUAACUGUUCCUGGUGGUUUGAAUAGUGAAAAAGGGUCAGAGCAAGGCACUCCCCUUUUGAUUGAUAAGGCUGCCUUUAAAGUAUUUUUUGGAACAAAUUUAUCGGCCUUUAUUCUCUCUGUUUUUACCCUCACCAUCCACUUCGGGAUUCUGGAUAUUUUAUUUUCAGGAUUUAGUUUUUGGCAUCAAACAGGAUUUAUUCGAACUGAGUUUGUUUCUUUGAUCCUUGGCUAUGCAACAUUGGCGAUGGUGGUUGCUUUCAUUACAGGCAGUUUUGUGAUCUUAAAACCAACCUACGGACUUCCCGAUGUUCUUUUUCUCAUUAGCCCUGCUGUUUUUUUCUUUGUUUUCAUAUUUACUAUAUACAUACAAUAAUAUUACUUUAUCAUCUAUUGUAAUCUUCUUCCAAUUUUUAGUAUCAAUAUUAUCUCUUUGAAGAAAGAUUUCUUCAAAUAUUUUUUUUGAGAUAUGUCUAACUUAUCCAUGUUAAUCAUCUCUAUUUAAUUGAAAUUAAUAUAAAGCUAUUAAUUGAUAAACAUACAAUUUCAGAAAAGGUAAAAGAAAAAUCACAAUUUGUUUAAAGUAAGAAUUAUUAAAUAUCAAAGAGUAAUAAAUAUGUUGUAACUAAUUUUCCGUUAUGAUUAAAAUCCAAUUUGACGAAUCAUUGAAAAAUAUGAGAAUUUUAAGUUUAAGGAAAAACUUAAGGUUCUAUUAAAAAAUGGAAAUUUGUCACCAAUCUUUUUAAUUAGGUGUGAUCAGACACUUAUAAAAUCGCUUUUAUUGUGAAGUUCAUGAAAAUGAUUAAAUGUCAGCUAAUUAACAAAAUUUGGUUUGGUGUUAUUAAGUGAAAGCCUUGAGUAAAACAAGAAUGUAACCAUCGUUAAUCGACAUGAAUUUCAAGAAAACCUAGCCUCCAUUUAUGGUUUGAUUAAUUCCACCCUUUGGCCAAGAAAAUGGAAAUAAAGAUACAAAGUUGUUCAAUUGAAGUAAAUGCAUCAUUAGUCUAUGCAUGUAUAUAUGUGAUGUCCACUAAAUUAAUUAAUAAAUUGACUAAGUUAAAUGCACCUAUCAAUUAAUAGUAUAGUUAUGGCGACCACACAUAUCGUUCCCUCGAGGAUUACAAUUAGUAAUAAUUAUCUGUAAUAGCCCGAUUUUCAGUGAUGUCGGAAACAGUCCAAAUCUGGCAAAUGAGCUCAAAAAUUUUAUUAUUUAAUAUUUACGAGCCAAAUGAGGUAUUUAAAAGAUUUUUGAAUUAAUAAGUUUGUGGUUAUAAGGAUUUAUUAGAUUAAUUAAUUUAGAAAAAGAGGUAUCGAGACCUCGGUAUUAUAAAUUGAGCCGUAAAUAUUUUUAUAAAUAUUUACGGAGUGUCAAUAAGGUAGUAUUAAAGUUUCAUUAGAAAAUUUUAACGUUUUGGUAGUCAAUUAAUUAAAAAGAACUAAAUUGAAAAAGGUGCAAAAUUUGCUCAAGUGAUUAAAUAGUCUAAAUAAUAAAUAAAGGAAGACUAAAAGGGCAAAUAGACUCAUAUGAAUGGCAUGAAAAAAAUCAAGGAUUUUAUGUGAAAUAAGGGCAAAAUUGUAAAUUUCACCAAAUUAAAGAGAAAUAAAUGGGAAAUUGAAAAAUCUUGACAAAUUCAUCAUCAUUUUCAGCUCAAAAACAGCCAUAAGCUGAUUUUUCAUAUUUUAGCUUAAUGUAAGUUUAAUUCUUACUUUUUCCUUAAAAUUUUUAUGUUUUUGGACUUUUACAACUAGGUCUAACUUACUAUUUCAUUAGUUUUUGAUUUUGUUGAAAGUUUUGGAAGAUAUCAUUGAUAAGUUCAUAUGAUUUUAGUUAUCUAUGAGUGCCAAUACUUGUAGUUAUGAGUUAUUGUAUGCCAUUGAAUUUGUGUUAGAUACAUGUUAUAUGCUAACUCACUAUGUUUUGGAGAAUUUUAAUGUCAUGGUAAUCAAAGAAGCAAAGCAUUUUAAUGGCAUCAGCUUUUUUACAAUUAAAAUGUCCACAAGCUAAUGUGUAUGAACUUGGGAUGUGGAGUUCAGCUUAUUGGGAUGUGGAAACUAAAUAGUAAAAUGUUGAAAUUGUCCCAGUUAAUACCACAUUACGGUUGGUUUCCAUGUUACAAUACGAAAUCCGAUGGGAAAAUUGAAUUGCUGUCUGCUAAUCAUUUUCAUUUAGUUUGCUGUUUAAAUAAUGUUGCCUCACUCUUAUAAUCACCACUUUUUCUAUUUUUAUAUGCCCUCUCUCUUUCCCCAAAGUGGCGUUCCACGUGUUCACUUACUCUAUAUAACACCUUAGGUUUAGUCUUUUAAUUACUAAGGAUGUGGGUGUUUACCCAGACCAUGAGCUGAGUAGUGUUAUUGAUUUUGGAUAAAGCAUGUCGGCUACGUGCAUCUUAAUUGCCAUAAACAAGGGAUAAAUGAGAGACAUUGAGGCCCCAAUGGAAUGCUAAAAACAAUUUGAAACAAGGUUGAGAGAAGUGGGGUUUGGUAAACGUCACAUGCAAAUGCAAUUAUUAUUAUUAACUUCAACAUAUUAGUAUAAAAAAGGGGGACGAAUGUGGGCUAUGGGCCUAAAGUCAAAAAGGGGUUUUGUUAUGAAUCUAAAUUAAAGCAACCUAAAAGCAUUUCAUAAGCUUAUGAUUAAGACAAAUCUUGCUUUUAAAUUUGUAUUAUUUGCAUGGUCAUGGCCUUAUCCCUAGAGCUACACCUUUUGAAAUGACAAGUGCUAUUUUUAGAUUGUCUGAACAUUGAAGAGACAAAAGCUGUCAUAUAGUAAUCUAUCCUUCAAUUAUUGUCGCCUAUUCCUCACUAUUAACGGAAUAACAGGAUUCAUUUAUAAUUCACCAUUUUCCAACUUAAUUAACAACUAAAAAGGUCAAAUGUUCCAUAUUUCAAUGGCAUCAGGGAGAUGGAAUUCCUUGAUCUAACAUUUAAAUUCCACAAUUAGUUAUAAUUUUGAUUUUCUUUUUAUAAAAAAGACAGAAGCAUGCAAUAGAUAGUAAUAUAUAGCACUCUAUUACGUAGGUGGAUUAAAAAACAUAUUUUUUAUCGAUUGUGAAAGAGUUUAAACCGUACAUAGACUCCGAUAAUGGAUGUUGUCUUUAUUAUAUCACAAACCUUAAUUGUUGACUAAGUCGGCAAACAUCCAAGCUAAUCCGCUCUAACUUCCAAUGUACCUUGACACUUGCCCAAUAAAACCCUCCUCCCUCAAUUGUGAAAAUCAUAACAAACACGGCCUUCAACGUUAAGUUUUCGAUUAUUAAUUAAUAGCUCUCAAAAAACAAGUAGGGGACUAUGAAUUGGAUUUAUACUAGUAAAAGAUCGACAAACUAUUACAUGAUCCAAAAAAUCUCUAAGAGCAAUUACUAUAUAUCCCUACCGUAGUACCAUCUUAUUCUUGCCAACCAAACAAAUAUCACUACUACUCAUUCCUGGCCAAUCUAUACUGGAGUUGCUAUGACUAGAUCAUCUUUUUAUAACCAAACUACCUUCUUUUUUCUACUACUUCUAUUUUGAAAUACCUCUAUAGUUGUUGUAGACAAUUUUUGAACCUCAUUCCUUGUUUAUAAAGAUCAAGUUUCGCACCUUUAAAUAUCACCUCAUUCCGCAUUUCCAUAUCAACCACAUAGUCUUCGCACCGAUACUAUAUAUACAAGUUGCAUCGUCUACCCCUUUCCAUUGUUUUCAGCUUAACAUCCAAUUCUUUACAUUGCCUACGUUUAUACUUCCCAUUCUAAUGCCUAAACCCAGUCCAAACUAUACAGCGUGCGAACAAACCUUUAAUGAAUAAGUGAUUCACAUCCUCGUCCUUCUGCUUACAUAGUUGACAAAUAAGUUUUACAUUUUGUAAGAGGUGCUAAAGAAAAAUCACAAUUUCAUAAGGAAUAUCACGAUUCCACAACCACUUCCAAUCAAAGUGAAGUGUAGUUUCUAUGCCUUCAUAUGAAUUCAUAAGGAAUAUCACGAUUCCACAACCACUUCCAAUCAAAGUUAAGUAUAGUUUCUAUGCCUUCAUAUGAAUUCAUAAGGAAUUUAGGGUUUAAGGAAGUUGUCUAAGCUUGUAUACGCUGACUUCAUAUGAAUUCAUAAGGAAUAUCAAUGAAUGCGUUCAAAUGAAUUCAUCUUUCCCUUCACUAGGAGAGUACUUAGUUCCUUACCCUAACCAUUCUAAGCACUUUGAUUGAUACACUUUGGGACUUUAACAUAAGACAAUCAAUACAAAGGUAGAGAUGCAAAUUGGGAGUAUACCAUUGUAACAACCUGACAUUAGUCAAAGUCAGAAAAUACGGUUUCAAAACUCUAUUUCCGUAAACUGAGUCCAAAAAGACAAAAUAAGAAUAUUUAUGGAGUUUAUAGAAAAUAUAUUAAAGAUCGGUUAAGUAAUUUAACCGAGAAACUCAUUAAUUAAAGCUCAGGUGUUAAAUUGCAAUCGCUAUUGAAUUUUAAAUUGAAAAUGCUUGAAGACCAAAUUAACAAUUAGUCAAAGGACCAAAUGGUUAUUUAACCAUUAAUUUGAAAAGAGUUUUAAUUAAUGUAUUUUAAUUAAGUUUUGGAAACCUAUUUGCUUGUAUGAAUCGUCGAGUAGGUAUUAAAACAAAAUCAUAAUUGCUUCUACCACAAAUGUGGCAUUUCAUGUUUCGGACCGAACGACCGGGUCGUGUGCAAGGUCUUACAACCAUUGCCUUAAACAUAAAGGCUUCCAAUGUGCUCAUUUAUUUUUGCAAUAUAUCAAUAGGGGUUGGAAAAACUUUCUUGUUACAAAGGUAACCCAACUAGAUUCCAAGAGUUUUGGGGUCGCUCUACUCGUUUGAUUCCUACAUAUUCGAAAACCACCGCUUUUAUUGACUCCUACUUGAUAGACUAAGAUAUAAAUAAAGAUUUUCUAUAAUUGAUGGACAAACUUGAUAUUCCUCCAAAAUUCCCUUCCCUUAUUUUGUAUUCCUAAUUGCAUGCAUAAGUUCAACCCCUAAGAAAAUAUUAUCAAUAAUACGUCUCCCUUAUGGUGUAAUCAAUCUUGACUAGCCCCUUCAAUCUACUCACUGAAACUUUUGUUCAAAUUUUAUAAACCACAUUAUACAGGCUAAUUGGACAUUACCUUUAUCCUCAAGAUACGAGUGAUCUACGGUCUUAAAUUCUUUCAAUAAAAAACCAAAACAUGCUUGAGUUAUGAGAGGACCUACAAUAUCCCAGAACAUGCUAUCAAUCCCGGCAGCUUUAGAGCAUCAUUUUAAAAUAUAUACCACCUUUACUAUUUCUUCUGGUCUAAUCACCCCUCAAAGAUAGUUUAUGGGGUAAUCGUAAAAAAAAAAGAAAGAAAGAAACCCAUCAAUAAGAAAUAAAAAUAUCAAUUAAACUUUCAAUUCAACUCUUGUAGCUGAAAAAAUUAAUCAACGAAACCUUAAACUAACAUUGAUCGUGACAUUUUUAUUGACUUGACUAAAAUAGUAAUAAUACAUAACAUAUCAUAUGGACUGCAUAUUGACAUGACAUUUUUUACGCAUCAAGCAAAUAUUUAAAAAAUCGUUAACAAAUAGAUACAUUUUUUUAAAAAUAAUUAUUUAAAAUAAUAUAUCUAGAAUAAACCUAAAUAAACAACUAUCCACAUUCAUUUGAAUCUAGAUAACUAUUUAUCCAGACUCAUCUUGAACUUGAUUCCUUUGAUAAUUACUAAAAAUUAAAAAAAAGAAUAUAAAAGAAACUUUUUAAUAAUUAUAAGUUAUUAAAAUUAUUAAAAACUUAUAAAAGAUAUUAAAAACCACUGAGAUGAACCUAGACUCUUUUUUUUUUUUCACUUAACACGUACAAAACUAAUUUUCAUAGAAAACCAAAAUAAAAUUGUCAACAUUAUAGGGAUUAAACAAAUUUUUUACUGUUUUGCUCAAAAUACAAUCAACAAAUACUUAAAAAAUGAAAGCCCCAAAAUGAAUUCUAAAGCAUUGAAUACAAACAUUCACAUUGAGAAUAAGAAGUUACAUUGAAGCGUCACUAUAAAUAUAGUUGAAUGAGCUCAUCACUAAUCACGGAAGGAGUAAGCACACCCAAGUCUGUAUAGAGUAGAGUAAGAUAUUGAGGAGGAGUGUAAUCUCGAGCCGAUCUUUCUACCUCAACCUUGGAUGGGAUUAGUACCCCAAAAUCAAUGGGGUGUCGCGCAGGACUCAUAUCUUUUUGGUCCUAAGGAUAAUGUCGAGCAAACUACAAGGGAGAAGAAAUUCACAACUGAGUUAUGCUAGCCGGUAGUCUGAACCCUUCUUUCUAGGUUCGUUGUAUGUAGCCUAUUUCUUUGCUCGGAUUCAAAUACUUAAGAGCAAGAAAUGAAGCUUUUUAGUUACCUUGUAGCAUUCUGCAGCCACAUAAACAGGCUUGUUCAUGCUAUGUGCCACAAAUGCAAUCCGGAAUGGCGCCAUCAUGUUAAUGAUACCUUCACUUUCAACCACUCCAUCAGCUCCAAAGAGUACCAUGUCCACCUCAUCCAUAGUGUAUGCCACAGCAGAGUCUAUUAAAAGCUUUACGGGAACAUCAAGGUUGGCCAGCUCAUUAGAAAAUCGUAAUCCAGUUCUAUCUGGCCUUCCUUCUGUUUUAAAACAAUGUGAACUCUUUCAUAAACACCGCCAUCUGAUAUGACUUAGUAGAACAUAUGCAAAAAAAAAGAAGAUAAAAUGACUAGACUUCUUUUUUGGUGACAGCACAUUUGGUUUAAUCCUGUUAAGAAUUAGUUGCAUGCACAUGACAAGGUACACAGAAAGUAAAACCUGUGCAGAGAACUCUAAAAGUGUUUCUUGUUUUCAGCUGCUGUCUUCAAUACUUCGAGAACAACUCUAGAGAAACCAUGUACCAAAAUGGUACAACCAUCAAAAAUAAAAUCUUGACUUAGCAUUGCAAUAAUCCUGCGAGCCUACAAUGUUUGGCAAUAAUGUCUUUCAACAACAGGAAUGCUUCAAGUAUAAUUAAAAUGAAAUGAAACAGUAGAGAAGUAAUUUACUAGAAAAGCCACAAUUUAUCUGAAAUACCUUACAAGAUAUUUCCCCAAACUUCUCUGCACGUUCGAUCAGGCGAGACUUAGCUGAAUUAAAGUCCUCAUACUCUAAAGCUGAUGUUCUUGUUACAUACAACAUGAAGAGAUCACAACCAGCUGUCAACGAGAUAGAGGUUGUGUCCCAUGACUGGCAAUACAAACAUAAGCUUGAUGAUGAAAUUGAGAUGUUGAUGGGUGUUUAAAGGUAUUUUAUUAAGGAAUUUUGGAUGAAAUCAUGUUUUAGGGAUUAAUUAGUAAAGUUGUUGAAUUUAUGUGAAAUUCUAAAAUUUCAUCGAAUUUAUGGGAUGCUAUUGAUAUAUGUGAAAGUAUUUAGGCUUGGAAUAAGGAAUAAAUUACUUAAAUUUCAAUUUUCGAGCCUAGGGAUGAAAUCGUCAUUUAGUAAAAGUAUAGGGGCAAAAUAAUAAUUUUGCCUAAGAUGUGACUUGGAUAGAAUUGAAUGUAAAUUUUAUUAAGUUGAUGUUAAAUUUACUCAUAUAGAUCCGGAUAGAUCAAAUACGAAGCUAGAUCGAGGUAAAGAAAAAGUGACGGAUUAGUAGACAUCAAUUCACAAACACUUGUCGAGGUAAGUUCGUGUAACUAAAUUGUGUAUAUUUAUAUGCUUAAAUUUGAAUAUUGAAUAUGUAAAUUGUAUAAAUGUCAUGUAUGUGUAUAUAAUUUACCUCAUAUCCGAUAAUUCCUGAUAAAUGAGUCAUGUAUGUGUAUAUAAUUUACCUCAUAUCUGAUAAUUCCUGAUAAAUGAAUAAGUCCCAUAAAAUGAAUGAAACUCGAUUGGAUACAGGGUUCUGUUUCCCAAAAUGGUAAUGUUCCUGCAUAUGUUGCAAACGUCCGUAUCUCGAAAGAGCGUCCCGUUACAAGCCCUCUCAAGCUUCCCGUUAUAGUGUUCUUGCGAGCUUCCCGUUAAAUGCUCUUCUGAGUAUCUCGACUGGUUGUGUUCUGCAUAUGUUGUAGACACACCCACGCUCUUAUGGGUGUUCUGUUUAUAGGUUCUUUGUGAACCUCCUGUUAAAGUGCUCUUCGGAGCUUCCCGUUAGUGCUCGCUUGAACUUCCCGUUAUAUGACUAUCCGGUGCUCUCUGUUAAAGUGCUCUUUGGAGCUACCCGAUAUAGGCUCUUUGUGACCUGUUGUUAAGCCCAGAAAAGCUUCCCGUUAUAGUGCUUGAGAGAGAGCUUUCUGUUUAAGUGCUCUAAUGAGUACUCGACAUGAAUUGACAGAUUUCUGAUUUAUACACUUUAUGUGUGUAACAGCCCGAUCUUGACCCUAAUCGGAACAGUAGUUUUGGGACCACAAAUUCGAGUCUAAAAAAAUAUUUUAAUAUUAUUUUCUGUGUUAAUUAUGUGUGAAUUUACAUGUGUGAAAGUUUCGUAAAUUAAUUUUAUUGUUUGUGUGCUUAAUUUGAAAAAAAGGGGCUUAAUCGCGUAAAAUGAAAAUUUGAUGGCUAAUUAAGAAAGUGCCUAAUUGUUGUUGUCUUUAUAAGUUGGAGGCCUUAUGUUGUAAUUUAGCCAAUAAUAAUAGGUAGUGGAUGGCAUAAUGAUGAUAUGUGAUUUAUAUAUAUAUAAAAUAAAAGUUAAAAUAAUAUUAAUAUAAUAAUAUAUGUUAUAAUAAAACAAAACAUUAAAAGCCACUAUUUUUUUUAUGUUCAUCUUUCUUCACCGAAUGGAGAAAAGAAAAACAAGGUUUGAAAGCUUGAAACAUUCGGCCAUUUUGAAGCUUAAUUCAAGGUUGGUUUUUGUUCGGUUUUUGAUAAUUUUUACGUUUUUGAGAUCGUUGCUUUGAAUACUUCAAAACCCAUGUCUUAAUUUUGUGAAUUGUUGAUGAUUUUGAGAAAUGCCAUUGAUGAAUGCUUGAGCUUUGUGAUAGUUGAUGAUGAAAUAUGAAAGAUAUGUGAAAGAUUAACAUGUUUGUCUUUGAAUUUUUGAUGAAUUUGAGUAAUUAGGGUUAAAUUGUAAAAAUAAAUUUUUGAGGGACUAAAAUGUGAAAUAAAUGAAAUGUGUGGUCUUGUAUGGACACUAGGAAUAUUUGGCCCUUAAGGAGUGUAGUCAAAUUUUGUGUAUUUUGUGUUUUGAGCAAAAAGGACUAAAUUGUAAAAAGUGUGAAAUGUUAGGGGCAAAAUUGUAAUUUCUCAUUUAUGUGUUUUUAGGCUAAAUUGAAUAGAAUGGUGUUUAACUAAGCUUAAUUUGAAUAUGCUUAGAUUAAGAAUUAAAGAAAUCAAAUUUGGAUCGAGGAAAGACAAAAGUGGUGGAGUAGCCGAUUUAACAGUCGACGACAUCCGAGGUAAGUCUAUAGGCAUAUAAAUGUCGUUAAAUUUGAUAAUAUAUAUGUUACAUGUUGGAUGGAAUUUUUGUGAAUAUAUUUGUGUAUGGCCGAAUGUAUAUUGAGCAAAUGAGCUAUAUUCGAGUUCGAUUCGAUCGAGAUACGUUAUCCGAAAGUCCCGUACGAACCCUAGGAAUAGAUAGGAUACAUAUGUCAUGGCAUAGGAUUUUCGAUAUGUGUUAUCGUGUAAGACCACGUCUGGGACGUUGGCAUCGACUUGUGUUUACGUGUAAGACCCUGUCUGGGACAAUGGCAUCAAUAUGUGAUUACAUGUAAGACCACGUCUGGGACGUUGGCAUUGUACGAGUCUUCCGACUAUCCGAGUAUCCUUUUUAAUUCCGAAUGGUUCAACGGGAAAAGAUAAGUUGUGUACGAAUGUAUAAAUCGGGCUAAGUGACCAGGUAUGUGAUAGUUAAUUACCUAUUUGAAAAUAAGGCAAGUUGUAUACUUGAAUUGAUGAUAUGAAGUUAUGUGAAAUAUGGAUUAUGUUAUUGCAUAUUUGAAUAUAUAUGUAUUCGACCUUGAUGUAUAUGUGCAUUGAGGAAAGUGAUGAUUGGUUAUAUUAAUGUUCAAUGGAUUAUUCAGUAAAGAGGGAAGUUAUUACAAAUUAUAUAAGUUUUGAUAUAUAAGUUGAUAAAUUGAAUUAUAUGUGAAAUUAUAAUGGUUUAUUACUAAUUGUCUAGCUCAAUUUAUGUAAAUGAUUAAAUGUUUAUUUGCUUAUGAAUACUAAGCUUUAAUAGCUUACUGUGUGUAAUUGCUUUCAAUUUUAUAGAUUUGGAAGUUGGUUAAGAGCGGGGAUCGUCAGAGAAGUCUAUCACACUAUCGACUAUUUUCGGUAUUUUACUAAGUUUGAAUUUAAACUUAUGGCAUGUAUAGUCUAGUUAAUAUGUUUGAUUUUUGGGGAUGUAAAUAUGAGCCAUGCGAAAAUGGCUUAUUUAUUUUGUUAAGCAUGGUUUUUAUGCUUUCGAUCAAGUGAUAGAUAUGUUGAUUUUGGUAUUUCGGCUAUGGCAUAUUUAUUUAUGUGAAUUAUGUUUGAUAUAUUUUGUUAAUAAGGUGGUAAAUAAUUCGGCAUAGGUGAGCUUAGUUAAAGCAUAUAAUUGAAGUGAGUUUCGUAUAAUAUGUUAAUCUCUGAAUCGGCCAUGGUAUAUAUAUUAUGGUGUUUUAGUCAUGUGCUUCGGUAAUGAGGUAAAUGAUAUUCAAGCUUAAUUAAUCUUGGUUAUGUGUUAUAUAUAUAUAUGAUAUGUGUGAUAUGUUUGGUUUUGGUCUUGGUGUUUCGGCUAUGGUUUAUUUAUAAGUAAAUAUAUGUGAAUCUUGUUUGAUAUGCUUUGUUAAGGUAUUGUUAUGUAAUUUAGUAAUUAAGUGAACUCGGUUAUGGCAUAUAGGUGAAAUGCUAAGUAAAUCAUAGAUGAAAUGACAGUUAAAUUUGGUUUGUAAGAGUAUAUUUGCAUUAAUAAAUUGAUUUGAAAGAAACUAGUAAUGUGCAUAGGUAUGUACGAUUAUAAGGUAUGGAAGAAUAUGUGUAUAUUUGGUCAUGAUCUAGACCUGUUUUGGAAGUGUGUUUUAUGCUAUAAAUUGGUGUAUGGAUAUAGGUUUGGAAAAUGUGAAUUGAUAUGUAUGAUUUUACUAUUUGAAUCGAUAUGGUUUGAUUAGUAAAUGGCAUAUUUUGACUUAUGAUUUAAUGACUAAAUCUUGUACAAUUUAUGAGGUUAUUUAUGGAUGCCAAUUUGUUAUGAAAUAAAUUAGGAAUGUCGAGUAUUUAAUAAAGGUACGAUUUGCUCAUGCAAGUGGACUUAAUAUUCGAUUUUAUAUUUGUAAAAUGAUAUGAAUUGUAUGGAUUUUUGGAUAUGGCUAAAAUGGUGUAUUCAUAUGCGCAAACUUGUAAUAGAUAAAUAUGAAUGUUUUGGUCUUUUGAAUGAUAUAUAUAUAAAUGAUUUUAAGGUAGGUUUAAAAUUUAUGAAUAAGAUACAAACAAAUUCGAGUAAUGAUAGUUAAGUGAGUAAAACAAGUUUGAAUUUAGCUUUUAUAAAUUUAUUGGAUUAGUCAAUUAAAGGAUAAGUUGAUUUGUAUUGAGCGUAUAUAAUUUAUGAUUGAAUGAUUUCACUGAAAUGGUCAUAUGUGUAUAAUAUAAUGGCAUAAAAGGUAUGUACGACCAUAAUAUAAUGUUACUAAUGUUGUAUAUGUGAUUGGACAUUAAGUUGUAUACAUAUUGGUUUCAUUAUGUACAUAUACAGAAGUUAUGAAAUGCAAUGUUUGAUAUUUAGAUAGUAAAAUUAUGUACGGAAGUAUUUUCUAUAUAUGAAAAGUGAAGAUAUAUGCUUGAAUAUGAUUUAAUUAUGAAAAUGUCAUUAAUACGAUGGAUUUAGGGAAAUCGAAUAUUGAAAGUAUUUUAAUUUAACAUGACUCUGAUGUAUACAAGUUUGGUUCGAAUUUGUUAAUUAUAGAAUAUGUUCAUUGAGCUUUGAUGUAUGUUUAAAUUGAAUUAGUUUAAAUUUUGAAAUGUGUUUAUUUGUGAUACAUGCUUAGUAAGGUAUGAUUGAUUUGAAUUGUAAUUAUCAUUUUAUACAUAUUUGAAUUUAAAAUAAGUAAAAUGAGGAUAUUCAAGUUUGAUAAUGUUAUAAAUGAAUCGUUAUUCUUUGGUGUAUGAAAGGAGGUAAAUGACUGUGCUGAACUGUGUCUUGUUCGGUAAUGCCUUGUAACCCUAAUCCGAUGACGGAUACGGGUUAGGGGUGUUACAAUAUGUACUACCCUCGUAUCCAUCGAGAUUUCAAAUGAUUCAACAGGUGAAAUUCUGACAUGAAGACAAGUGAAAAUUAAAAUGAAAUCAAUAUAUGAAAAAUACAUGAAAUGCAUGGAACUUGGUAUUUGAUGAGCUCAUCUUUGGUGUUGAUAUUUACAUGAAAUGAAUAACUAACAUAUUUGAUGAGAUUAUGUACUUAGGCUAUGGCCAAGUUGUUUGGAAUGCAUGAGUAUGUUUACUUAGUGUACAAAUGAAUGGUAAGUUUACUUCCCGUUAUACGAACUUACUAAGCACUAAGUGCUUACUCUGUUUUAUAGUACUCGGAAGCUCGUUGGGUUGGAAGCUUGGCGGAGAUCACUCACACUAUCCAUUGGCUCACUUUGGUAUAUUUAUGACACUAUUUUUGGAUAUAAUGGCAUGUGUAGGCUUGGUUAGCCAAAGUUGGCAUACAAAUAUUUUGGUUGUAAAUAGCCAUUGGAAUGGCUUGUGAUGAAUGUGUUUUGGCAUAUUAACAUAUGAGUUAAUUUCAUGUUUGGUAUAAGUGCUUAAUUUGGUUUAUGAAUAUUAGUAUGAUAUUAAGUAAAUGUGGUCAAAUAUAUAAAUUCACAAACAUGGAUUAUGAAGUGAUAUGGUAAGUAUGAGACUUGAGUUUUGCAUGUUUUUAAAUGUUUUAGAUUGACUUUUGGAUGUGUUAAAAUGUUUGCAUAGGUGAGUGAUCAAAUAGGUGAGAAAUAAGGCUUGGAAAUGACAUUAUUUUGUCCACACGGGCAGAGGCACGAGUGUGUGUCUUAGUCGUGUGUGACACACGGCCUAGCACAUGGGCAUGUGUUCUAGCCAUGUGUCCCUUGCAUUUUAAAAUUUUAAAAUAGAGCACUUGAAAUUGAUCACACGGUCUGGCACACAGGCAUGUGACUUGGCCGUGUGACCCCUGCACUUAAUUAAGUUGCAAGUCAGAGAGUUACACGGGUUAGAGACACGGGCGUGUGCCCUACCUCAUAUACCACACGGCCUAAGACAUGGGCAUGUCACUUGGCCGUGUGAGCCACAUUGCUUGACCACACAAGCGUGUGACCCCUGAACCUAGGAAAAAUUUUGAAAUUUUGUAAAAAUUCUCUAAGUUCCCGAUUCAGUCUCGACUCAUUUCUAAUGUAUGAUUUGGGCCACGAAGGCCUAUAGAAGGGACGAUAUGGUUAAACCCUGUUCCAACGACGGAUACGAGUUAGGGAUGUUACAUUAUCGCCUUUCGGUUACUUAACCUAAUAAUUCAAAGGAUUGGUUAAAACUAAAAUUGACUAACUAAAAUAACUAACGAAUGUGUCAAAUAGCAAAACACGAAAAUAAUCUAAUAUCAUCCGAUUUACUAAACGAUACCCACGUACGAAUCCACUUAGAAUUCAUCUAAAAUUCUCAAUUUAAUUUAUGCAAUUUAUUUCCUUAGUUUCCUUGAUCCAUAGAAAUCCCUAACUUAUGCUAAUAUCUCUUUCGAGCAUAAAAGCAACUAACUCUAGGUUGAUUAAUUGAAAUUUCCUUCUAAUUAAAACCCUUAUUAUCUCAUUAAUUCACUCUAUGGAUUCUCUUAUUAGAUUUGAUUCUAAUUUGGUAGAUUUGUAUCGACCUAUUUCUAGGAUUAUAUGCAACUCCAUUCGACUAUGCAAAAUCUAAUUACAAGAAGGGUCUAUUCAACCUCAAACUCAUGCCCAUCAAACAUGGAUUAAGACCCUAGAAAUAUUAACCCAAGAAAAAAUUUAGAAUUCAUAAUUGAAAAUAAAGAUGCUAAGAUUUUAUUGCAUAAAACUAUAAAUCAAAUAAUAUCAUCCAUCGUAAGGCUCGUCUCCUCUAGGGAUUUAGAAAAUUAGUUCAUACUUGCAAGAAUAAACACCGAUAAUACAAUAUAACCAUUAAAAUAAAAGAAACCUAUGAUAACUUCCUCAGAAAUCAAUUUGGAAUCUUUAAUUUUGAUGGAGAACUGCUUUGAAAUCAACUUCAAUGGUGUUCUUUUGGGUAAUUUUCGUGCUAAACCAAGACGGAUGUUGUUUUCCCUUUUUUAUUUCCUUAUAUAUGCCUUCUUAAAGUACCAAAAACUUAAAAAUUUAAACUUCCGACUAUCAUUGUACACCGUUCCCAAAAGUUACACACCCUUGCCACACACCCUUGUGGUUCACAUAGCUUUGUGGUCUGGCUGUGUGAAAAUCUGUUACCCGUGUACAGCUUCCAGACUGCUUCAAUGUUAUGAUUUUCACUUGUUUUUCGCUCUAUUUGUUCCCAAGUUCUCUAUUAAGCUUCAAAACAUGAAUUUAAAGGAUUAUAAGUAUAUAAUUCACAAUUAACACCACUUUAUUACCCAAAAAUGCACUAAGAAUGAGGCUAGAAUAUGUUACUUUUGACACUUAUCAAAUAUCCCUAUACUUAAGCAUUUAUUUGUCCUCAAGCAUAGGUCUCGGCUCACAUUCAAAUUAACUUUCCUUCACCCAUUAUUUUCACUAGUCAUGGCUUAGGAUAGUCUAUAUAUAAUUCGAAAAUUAAACUAAAAUGACAAUAAAGAGCAUGAGUAAUCCAAGCAAAAAUUUUAAUUUCAAAACAUAGGAUUCUCCCCUACCUUAUAAUGACUUGAAAUUCAAACCCAACCAGAUUUAACAUCCUUACUAAGUUUCACUCAAAACACUCAAAGUGUUUAAAGGUUAAUUAAUAUGCACUCAAUAGUCAAACAAGGAAUGUUAUUACCAUAAGCUUGCUUAAGAAUCAAAUCUCCACCACUACAAAUAUGAGAUGACACAAAGAUCAAGAGGUUUUUACAAGGGUUGUAACGGGGAUUAGGUUAAGAGUAUAGAAGGUAUAAAAGGUGAAUAUAGUUGAGAGUUGAAAUGAUAAGUUACCAAACUAAAAGAAUAAGAUGCUGAAUUGCAAAAAUUUAACAUUAAAGUGAAACAAAGAAUUGAAGUGAGCUUUUAUAUAUGGUGAUGAUGAUGAUUUAAGCUCAAAAAAAAAAAAGAUAAUGAUGCUUAUAACAUGAAUAUUGACCUCUCAAUUGAACAAGAUAGCCUAAAGAAUUUUUAGAAUGAUCGAACAUAUCUAGGAAAUUUACCAAAAAUCUAAUCUCAAUUUAAGGGAAGCAAUAAAAAAGGUAAUUCACAAAAUUAUUGGGGUUUAAGGGUUAAAAUGGAAGGGGUGAUAAACAAACAAAAAGGGAUUAGGCUCAAAGGGGUUUACUAGUGGGCAAUGAAAUGGGUAGGCUAUUUAAAUGUUAAAUGGUUUAAAUCUUAAGUAUCUCUAUCAUCUCAGUAUAUCAAAUCAUUAUAUUUGAGAAUUCACAACAAAUGUUGGAUCUCAGUAACAUUUGUAAUCAAUCUCAUACAAGUGCGCACAAGACCUUAUUUACAUGCCAAUUUUAUCCUAACAUUUACUAAGUUCACAUGAGCAUCUCUUACACAUAUAAAUAUAUAUUUUCAAUUUAGUCCAAUUCUAACAUUUAGAACCAAUCAAUAAAUCCACAAUCACACACUUAUACACAAAUCAAAUCAAUUAAUUAUUUUAAAUAUAAUUAUUUUUAGUAAAAAUAAAUUUUAUAUGUGAAAUAUUUAUUUUUUUUCCAUCCAUAUAAUGGGUCUGACAAAUUUUAGUAUUAUAUAUUUUUUAUGUGUAUUUUAGAUAAUUAUUUGAAAUAUUUUACAUAUAAAAACAAUGAUAUUUGAAAUAAUUAUUUUUAGAAUAUUAGAAUUUACCAUACUUGCAAUAUAGGUGAAAAUAUAUUGAUAUUUGUAAUAGUUAUUUGAAAUAUUUCACAUAUAUUUGAAAUAAUUUACAUAUAAAAUCAAUAGUGAUAUUUGAAAUAAUUAUUUGAUUUUAUAAUAUUAGAAUCUACAAUAUCCACAAUGUAGGUGAAAAAAAAAUAUUUCACAUAUAAAAAAUUAUAUUUACUAUUUACUAAAAAUAAUGAUAUUUGAAAUGGUUAAUUGAUUUUUUUAUAGUAGAAUUUAUCGUACUUACAAUGCAUAUAAAAAAAAUAUUUGAUGUAUAAAAAUUAUAUAUAUAGAAAAAUAUAAAAAAAUUAGUUGAUGUUUUUUAAAAAAUAAAAAAUAAAUAACAUAAUGAUACUUAUGAAUAUAUUUUCACUAUAUCCACAAUGCAAGUGAAAAAAAAUAAUGAUAUUUGAAAUAAUUAUUUUUAUAAUAUUAAAAUUUAUGUUACCCACAAUGUACGUAAAAACAUUUUUUUUUAUAUAAAGAAUUAUUUAUAAAGAAAAAUAUAUCAAAAAAUUAGUUGAUGUUUUUAAAAAUACAUAUAAUUUUAACAUAAUGAUACAUAUGAAUAUAUAUUCAUCAUAUCAAUAAUGUAAGUGAAAAAAUAAAGAGAUUUGAAAUAAUUAAUUUUAUAUGUUAGAAUUUACGAUACCCACAAUGUACGUAAAAAAAUAUUUGACAUAAAAAAUAUAUAAAGAAAAAUAUAUCAAAAAAAUAGUUGAUGUUUUUAAAAAAUAAAAUAUAUUAACAUAAUUAUAUAUAAAUUAUUUUCAUUAUAUAAUUACAUAUUUAUUAUUUUGUGUGUAUAAAUAAAGAAGUGAUUAAUUAAAAUAAAAAUAAAAAGUUAAUUGAAGACUUGAAAAUAGCAUGCUUAUUAAUUAAAAAUUAAGAAAAAAAAGCUUGAAGAAAUAUUCAUUAGGAAAAAAAAAAUAAUAUAUGGGGGGGGGGGAUUCGGAUAUGGGACUUAAGGGUAGAAAAUGCUAGAAAAAUAAUGAGGUCCUUGGAAGUAAUAAAUAUUAAUAUUUUGAUAUUUUAUAAAAAAUUUAUAAACUAUAUAAGCAUAAUAGGAUUUGAACUUAAGUUACUAUGACUUCAACGAUCUUAUUCUUGUUAUCAGAACAUUAUUUAUUUCUUUUUAUAAACAUUUACAUAUAUUUUUUUUAGAUCUAACAAACAGGGAAGGCAUUUGGUAAAUUUCUGGAUUUGCAGUAUUUUUUUCUUCAAGCUAAUUAAUUCAAUUUUGUAUGGUGUUAUCCAGGAAGAAAUAGAUCAACAAAAAUGGGAGCUGAGGAGCCUGAAGAGAACAUCACUCACAUGGAUGCUUGGCUUUAUAAGGCAGCAGCAGAAGGCAACAUUGAAGUAUUCAAUAAUAACCAGCGGCUUCAACUUGAGCCGCUAAAGACCCCAAACCAUGACAACCUGCUCCAUGUUAGCUUGGCAACCCAGGAGAAUGCUGUCUGGCUUUUUAACAGCGUUCACUCAAUAUUUAAAUCGUCCCCGCACAAUAUGUAUUCUCCCUGAUAGAUUUUGUAUCACACGAUCCGGGUUUCAAUAUUUUCGUAACUGUGAUAAGAAGAGACAAAAUAUCUGAUUUUAUCAGACAAAUUCUGUUGGGACAAUGGCAGCAGCAAAAAGAAAAGAACAAGACAGAGAACAAAGGAGGAAGAAACAAAAACAAUUUACUUGCUCACAAACGUGCAACAAGGAAGCAAUCUGAGUUUCACAACUGAUAUGCUUGAUUUUUCAAUAAGAAAAACAAUACAUUUAUAGCCAACUAUAUCAGUUAUUAUUACCUAAUACCACUAAGUAGCCUAGUAACUUUAAAAACAUUGCUUACACAAACAAGCCACCUAAACUAGUCAUUCAACACCUAAACAUAUCAAGCUGUCAUCAGCUUGUUCAUUUCCAAGUAGUUUAAUCAACAAAGAAACUAAAAAGAAAAACUUGUUGUUACAGCAAGUAUAUGUGCUGCAGCAUGUCAUCAAGCUGCAUGCACUUCAACCAAAACAUGUAUCAGCAGCAUGGUUGGCCAAUUUCAACACUCCUCCUUGGACUCCAUGCUGCAAAUACCAAUCAUUCAUCAAGUUUUUUGAACUUGGCAGCCCUUAGAUGCUUUGUUUCAAGCUGACCAAUUCAUUUUCAACCUUGGCCUCAUUCACAAACAAAUCUGAUUUACACACUUGACUAUCCCAGUCUUUUGUGCCAAAGAUUUGUUCACCAAAUGGAGUCUUCUCCUCCUUCACAGCCUUGGUUGACAACACAUCUUGCCUUGUUUCUUUGUUCAUAACAAUCUUGUUUCUUCUUGCACAAACAGUUCGUGAGUAUAGUUUGCUUGCACAAACUGUCUUCAACAGGCUUGCAACUAUACAACACGCAUUGAGCUUCCACAUGUUGCUGAGCUCACACCUUUGACAGACUCACAUCUUUGCAUAUUGUCUUCAACAGGUGUCUUCAACAGGCUCGCACUUUGCUAAGCUUGCAGCUUUGACAUCUUGCUAAGCUUGCACAUUUGGAAAGCUCACACCUUUCCUUGAAACUCCUCCUCCGGCUUAUUCAAGCUUGUUUGGGGGUCUUAUAAGUUUGAGCCGAUGUUGAGCAGGGGAAGCAAAAUCAAUGGUCCCUUAAGACUUAGGCUCUGAUACCAUUUGUUGGAACAAUGGCAGCAGCAAAAAGAAAAAGAACAAGACAGAGAACAAAGGAGGAAGAAACAAAAAUAAUUUACUUGCUCACAAACGUGCAACAAGGAAGCAAUCUGAGUUUCACAACUGAUAUGCUUGAUUUUUCAAUAAGAAAAAUAAUACAUUUAUAGCCAACUACAUCAGUUAUUACUACCUAAUACCACUAAGUAGCCUAGUAACUUUAAAAACAUUGCUUGUACACAAACAAGCCACCUAAACUAGUCAUUCAACACCUAAACAUAUCAAGCUAUCAUCAGCUUGUUCAUUUCCAAGUAGUUUAAUCAACAAAGAAACUAAAAAGAAAACUUGCUGUUACAGCAAGUAUAUGUGCUGCAGCAUGUCAUCAAGCUGCAUGCACUUCAACCAAAACAUGUAUCAGCAGCAUGGUUGGCCAAUUUCAACAAAUUCUCAGCAAAUGUCCAUCACUGCUACUCCAGACGAAUGCUAAAGGUCAAACUCCUUUGCACGUUGCAGCAAGGUAUGGAGAUUCUACUAUUGUGAAACUUCUAAUCAAGUCUUGUGCAAAAGCUAGAGAUGGAGAUUUAGAGAAGCUGGGAAUGGAUCAAGUAAAUGCAGUGGGGGAGAUGCUGAGGAUUACAGAUCAGGAAUCCAACACGGCUUUACACGAAGCAGCAAGGCGUUACAAUGUUGAAGUGGUGAAAGCAUUAUGUUGGAGUUUGAAGACCCUGAUUUUCCGUAUUCCGCCAACAAAAAACAGGAGACUCCACUUUACAAUGUUGAAGUGGUGAAAGCAAUGCUGCACACUUGGGUUAUAGAUUAUCAGUUGUGGAAGAAGUGUUAAAAAGGGAUGUAUCAGCUGCCUAUAUAAGUGAUAAAAAGAGGGGGAUGACACCCCUGCUUAUGGCAGCCAGGUAAAGCUAUCUUGGAACAGUUUCAAAGAUUCUCUCUUUAUGUCCAGAUUGUUGUGAAAAAGUGGACAACAAAGGUUUGAAUUUACUUCAUUACCUGGUUUUUAGAGGCGCUUUCUCUCCAUUAAGAGUUUCUCCUUUGAAAUGACACUCAAGAAGUUUAUUAUGCACUUCGACCUAAGAAACAAGAUCAGAAACAAGUGUGUGUGUAUAUAUUGUAUUUCCAUGGCUAUGGUUUUAUUAAUAUUUAAGUUUUGAAUUAACAUAUUUAAUAAAUCUUCAAUACAAUCAGCUAAUGUGGGUGGCAUGGCAGAAACAAAUCAAUGAUUUGUUGGAAGAAAUUGAGACUGAUCAAGUGGCGGAGGACCCAGUUCAACUCAAUCUCUUGCCAACUAUCUCUGCAGAAAGCUUGGAGAAGACAAGAGAUGCUCAUUUAGUAGUGGCAGCACUUAUAGCCACCAUCGCAUUUGCAGCGGUAAUCCCGGUGGUUUGAAUAGCGAAAAAGGGUCAGAGCAAGGCGCUCCCCUUUUGAUUGAUGAGGCGGCAGCCUUUAAAGCAUUUGUUGUAACAAAUGCAUUGGCCUUUAUUCUCUCUGUUUCUGCCAUCUUCAUCCACUCCGGGGUUCUGGGUAAUAUGUUAUCAGGAUUUAAGUUUGGGCAUCGGACAGUUUUAUAUCGAACUCUGUCUGUUUCUGGGAUCCUUUUUCUAUGCAACGUUUGCAAUGUUGAUUGCUUUCAGCACAGGCUGUUAUGUGGUCUUAAAACCUUCCCACGGACUUGCCAUUGUUUCAUAUCUCAUCUACCCUGCCUUUUUUGUCUUUAUGUUGCUAAUUUUGAAUCUUACAUCAUAUAUGUAACAUAUAAAUAUGAGAAUAUUACUUUAUCACGGAUUACUAUUCUUCCAAUUCCUAGUGUCAAUGUUCUCUUUGAAGAAAUAUUACUUUUAAGUUUUUUUUAGAUAUAUCUAACUCAUCAGUAUUAACAAUCUCCAUUUAAUUGAAAUCAAUGUUAUUAGUUGAUAAAUACACAUUUUCAAAAAAAAAUUAAAAAAAUUCAUAAUUUAUGUAAAGUAAAAUUUAUUAAAUAUAAAAAAAUAAUAAAUAUGUUGUAACUAAUUUUCCGUUAUAAUUAAAAAUUAGUUUGAGGAAUCAUUGAAAAAUAUGAGAUUUUUAAGUUCACCACCAAUUUUUGUUGGCUAGGUGUGAUCAAACACCUAUAAAAUCACUCUUUAAAAAGAAAAUUUUGAUUUAAAAAAAAAUUAAUUUUGGGUACGAUAGAAAUUCAGAAAAUAAAUAUUUAAGUUCAAGAGUUGAUUACGUGAAAAGAAGGUUUUAGCACCCAUGCCUAAAAUUGAUAGUUUGUUAAAUAUAUUCGUCAAUUAAAAUUUAUAUCUCGGUAUUUAAUUAAAAUCCAAAAUUUUGAUAAAUUAAAAAUAAAUAUAUGAAAGAUGUCCAGAUUGUUGUGAAAAAUUGGAAAAAAGAGGUUUGAAUUUACUUCAUUAUUUGGCUUUUACAGACCGUUCCUACAAUUAAGUCAUUCUCUUUUCAUGACUGGUGGUACUAUGGCUGCAUAUGGAUCAAUAAGAAAUCUAAUGAAGUUGAAAGGUGACUUUGGAUUUACAGCAGCAAUAACUCUACCUGGUGGUUUGAAUAGUGAAAAAGGAUCAGAGCAGGGCAAUCCUUUUCUGAUUGAUGAGGCAGCCUUCAACAAAUGCAUUGGCCUUUAUUCUCUGUUUCUGCCCUCUCCAUCCAGUUUGGGAUUCUGGAUCUUCUUUUAUGUUUCUAAUCUCCUUGAUUGUGCAGUGGUUGUGAUGGUGAUUGCUUUUAGCACAAGUUGUUAUGUGGUUUUAAAACCUUCCCAUAGACUUGGUACCGAUUCAUGUUUCAUUUGCCCUGCCUUCUUUGUUUAUUAUUACAUACAACAAUACCUAGCUCUCGUGAAGAUGUUGUACUAAAAAGUACUCAUAUUGUGUGAGACAAUAAAACGAAGAGCUCAUGGAGGCCCUCAUGAUAGAACAAUUUUGCAUGCAGCAGUUAUGGCUGUAGAUGCCAGGCAAUUACAUAUGCAAAUAUAUUUAUUAACAACUUCAUUCCCCCCCAUCUCUGUAUUAAACCGAAAGUCCAUGUGAUUCCAACUGUUAAGCACCAUGGGAAGUGUUGAAAUAUAUAGGAAGUAAUAAGAAUUUUAUACAUAAUAAUGAAUUUACUAAUUUGACAUUUUUCGUAAUUAAAUUUAGCGUUUAAUUUUUUAAAAAGAGUCAAAUUUGAUCAUUUACUUUUAAAAACUAUUUAAUUAUCGUUUUUACACUAAAAUAUUAAAAUUUUAAAUAUAGUAGUUCGCGUGAAAGUUGGCAUGAACUUCAUGUUAACUUUUUCAACUUUUAAAUUUUUUAUAAUUUUUAAAUUAUUUCUUGACGUGCCGGAUAAAUAGUGUUAUCUCACAGUUUACGAGUUUUUCCAUUCCUAUGAUAAAAAGAGAAACGAGAUCAGAUUUUAUGGAACAAAUUCUCAGCAAGUGUCCGUCACUGCUACUCCAAACGAAUGCUAAAGGUCAAACUCCUUCGCACCUUGCAGCAAGGUAUGGGCAUUCUGCUAUUGUGAAACUUCUAAUAAGUCUUGCGCAAAAGCUAGAGAUGGAGAUUUAGAGAAGCUGGGAAUGGAUUGAGUAAAUGCAGCGAGGGAGAUGCUGAGGAUUAGGGAUCAGGAAUCCAACACCGCUUUACAUGAAGCAGCACGGUGUGGCACAGGGAUUUAAAUUGCGGUCGCGGUCGUAUUUUCGGUCGCGUCGCGUUUGUCGCGGUUGCAGACAUAACGGACGCUAUUGCGAUUACUGCGGGUAUCACGGUCGUGAAUUUUUUUAAAAUUCGUACAACUUAUUAUAAAAUAUAGGAAUUAUAAUUAUAAUUAUAAAAAGUCAUUUUUUAUGAUUUUUAGAGUUUUAAAUAUUUAGACUUUGAUUGCUUUUUGCUAUUUAUUUGGACUUCUUUUUUUUUAAUAACAUUAUAUUAGGCUUUUAUUAAUAAAACAAAAUUAUAAAAACUGCACACUUAUAAUUCUAAAAAGGCCCAAAGCAGAUGGCCAAAAGUAAAAAAAUCUAGAUAUUUUUAAAGUAAAAAAAUCUAGAUAUAAUCCUAAAAAAAGGCACCGAUUCCUUGCCCAAUCAGCUGAAAUCUGCCCUCUCUUCUUCCCAUAAUCCAUCAUUUCAUUUUCAAUUUGACCAUUUCCUUUUUCAAAACUUUUCCUUCCGAACCGUUCCAUUUUCUUAUUGUUUUGAAGCUUUCUUCCUUCCGUUCUUCCUCUCCUGGUGCUUUCUAGUCUGGUUCACAUAGCCAAUCGUAUCUUCUUUGUUCUUCAGCGUACUCAGGCCCUCAGGGAGCUCCAUUUCCAGGCAUACCUCCUCUUUUUUGUUUUUUGUUCUUUUUCCUGUUGUCUUCUUUGUUCUUUGUUCUUUUUCCUUUUUUUGAUUGAACUGUGUUUCAGUGUUUCUGUUGAUUUUUGUUUAGAGGGGAUGAUUUUUUUUAAUUUGCUGUUAACGGAAAAUAACGGGAAUAGCGGCCCGUUAUUGCCGCAAUUGGCCAUUACCCGUUAAAUUGCGGCCGUGAUCCACCGCUAUCGGUGUGACUCCGCUUCUCACCGCUAUUUUCAGCAAUUGCGGUUUCGGACGGCGCCGCUACCGCUAUAUAACGGCCGCUAUUUCGGUAACGGACCGUUAUUUAAAUCCCUGGUACUGUGGCAUUGUCGAAGUGGUGAAAGCAUUGUUGGAGUUUGAAGACCCUGAUUUUCCGUAUUCUGCCAACAAAAAACAGGAGACUCCACUUUAUAUAGCAGCUAUGGCUGGAGAUGCAGGUAUGCUGUUGAUAUUAAUAAUUUUGAUAAAAUGUCUGCAAUUUGUUAAAAUGCAACCUGAAGCUUAGAAAACUUUCCAGCAUCAGAAUUAACAGGAAGAGCUUACAUCAUGAUUUCAUGGAUUAUGAACUAUACAUUUAAAUUACAAAUUGAUAGAAGUUGUUUUUGUUAGUACAAAUUUUCGAUGAGGAAAAUUUCGAACACACGAACGAAACUUGAACAGCAAAUAAAGAAAUAAGACAAGGCUUCAAAGUGUGUAUCAAGUCGCUAUUUUUAAGGUUAUAUUCGCCUCCACCUAUGUUUAGUGUGCAAAAGAGUUUCGAGUAAAUUAAUCUCAAGGAUACAAUGAAGCCGAUGACUAUUUGUGUUUUGCACUGACGAAAAUAAAUCGCUAAGCACUGAGCAAUAUAUAACAAGAAACUCAAUUUAAAAAAAAAAAUUUACGGUAAUACUUUAUAGAAUAAUCUAAUAAUAUUUGAAGAUGGAGGAAGGAAAGAAAGAAUUUUAGAAUUUGUUGAUAUAAUUUUCAAAUAAAAUCUCAUUCCUAUUUAUAAGAAUUUUCAUGUUUCUCCGUAUACUCUUCGUAGACUCUUUAAGAAAGUGAGAAUUUUAUCCAAUUAAUGUUUUUGUUUCUUGUUUUGUUUAAUGAAGACCAGAAGUUAGGAAGCUCGACAAGAGUUUAAGCCUCCGUUUUGUUUGUUGUUAUUUUCAUUAAUUCCUAAUCUAAUUUGAUUCUACAGUUUUAUAACGUUAUUAAUUAAUCAAAAUUGUUAAUACAAUUAAUUUUUCGAUUAAAAAAUUUCAUGAUUAUAUAUAAUUUGAAUGUUUUAAGGGUUUUAGAGAUGAAUACGUGACUCAUUAUUUCUUUUAGGUUUGCCUUACUUUUUUUUAUAUUAUAAGAAAAUGAUCAAAUUUUAAUUUUAGCCCUUACACAAUGUGAAAAUUUGGGAUUUAAUUUAUAUACAUUAUUUUUUACAUAAUUUGAUCAUUCUUCUUUUACAAUGUCAUUAGUUAGCCCUUACACAAUGUUGGCAUCAAUAUUUUUAGGAAUCCUAUUCCAAGAAAAAAAUAUUCAUGACGAGUUCGAAUGAAUGUUCUAAAGGAAAAAUCUAUAUAAACAUUUUCAAUGUUAUUUUUAUUUUUAUAUGACUACCAAGUAAUUUUUUUUAAUUUUCAAAAUAUCACACUAACAAAUUUAAUAGAAGAAUUUUAGUAGUAGUAAUGAUUGGACCUAAAAUUUUAAAUCUAAAAAAAAUAGAGGGUCUAAAGUUCUAAAAAUAAAAGUAUGCUUAAAGUAUAUUGUCCUUUAAAUUGUACUGCAUAAUUUAAUACAAAUAAAUAAUGAACCCUUUGCGAAGCAUGAGAUUCAUACUAGUUUAUGAUUAGGUUAAUGGACAUUAAUUACCAAAUUUGCUAAAGUGUCUAUUUGAUGAAAUAAAACAAUCACACGUCUAAAACAUAUAAGGUUGUGGAAUGCUUGUACUAUUAUAAAUAGAGGUGGUUUCUCCACUUUUAGAUUAUCCCGAAAUUUGUUGUUUUUUUUUUGUAAUUUUCUAUUUUAUCUUUUGCAGUAUAAUAUAUUUGGUAAUAUUCAAGGACGUAGGCAUAAUUUGCUGAAUCUCAUCAAAAUUUUGGUGUUUUUAUUAUUAUUUUUUUCUCAAUAUUUUGUAGAGUAUAUUUGUAGUGAUAUAUUGGGCUUUAAGCAGGAUUAUAUGUGACCCUUUCAAUCUUUAUUGAGAAUUGAACAAGUAUUUUUUACGACAAUAAUUUACUCACUUGUAUCCGGUUCACACAACACUAUUAACUCUUUAUGAUUAUACUAACAAUUUAGUCUUAUUUUUCUCUUUUGAUAGUAAAAAAGUAGCAGCAAAAAGCUUCAAAACAAACCAAAUCAAAGACUAAACUAGUUUCCAUGGUAAGUAAGCAGGUCCAAAACACCAGGUGAUGGCUCUUCAAAAAAAUGCAGAGUAAUUCCCAAAUCAGGACCCAGCGGCGCCAUAAAGUCUGCAAUCUUAGUAGCUUCCCGUCUCUUAUGCAUAAAUUGGAAUCCAUCUGCCAAUAGCUUGGUCAUUAGUCGCCUCUUUAAAAUAUCCAUCGCCCCUCACAUUUUCCGAUUCAAUGAUAACCUUCCGAUAGCCUUGGCGGCGGGCCAACAAUUUAGUAUUUUAAUCAUCUUUAACAACUUUGUUUUGGCCCCAUUUGCUAAUUUUAAUUAUUUUUUAUUAUUAAAAUUAAAAUUAAAAAUUCAGAUUGACCCAUACUUACCUAACCUUUGAAUUAGAUUGAUAAACUACAUAUAGAUAAAUCCAUAUAUGACAAAUUUUUUAUAAUUAAAAUUUAGUAUACCGUCAUAAGUGUGUCAUAAUUUAGUGAUAUAUAAAUUUAAAAAUGAUAAUUUUGAUGUUUAUACUGUUAGAGAUUGUAUGACCCAAAUCUCGUCACUUUAAAUAAAAUACAAAGUCAAAAUAAGGAGAUCUAUGGGGACGAAGGAUUUUUCAAGCUUUAAAUAGAUGUAGUCGAAACUCUUCUUGUUUUAUUCAUUUUUCAAUAUUAGUGAAUUUCUCCUGCCCCAUGAUUAUUUCCAAAAAGAUUUUCACAUAAAAUUUAUAUUUUUUUUUCUUUUCUUAUCGAUUUGUAAUUAUUCUACUAUCAUUAUUGACGUCGAUAAUGGAAUUUGACAACGAAAAGAGAUGAAGUGUAUUUCAUCUGCCCUUCCAACUUUGUCAAAUUCCCAUGGACGUUGCCAUCGUUUUAUGUUUGAUCUGCUCUGCUUUUUAUUAUUAUUAUUACUUACAACAAUACCUAGCUUUGUUGAAGAUGGUUUUGUAGUGAUAAUCAAGAAUUUUCUUAACUUCAUUUAUUUCCCCAAAUAUCUGUGAAAGGGAAUUAAAUCUCCAUAUGAAGCCAAAGUGGAUGUGGUUCCAAGUGUUGAGCAGCAUAGGAAGUAAUCAAAAUAUAUAUGUCGCACUGCAAGGAAUUCAAGGCUGCCUUGUCCACAACACAAAGGCUUAUAGCUGCUAAGCACCUGCUCUUAAAUUUGAUUAUGGCCUAAUAAACAACAUAGGGCAGCAUUGACUUCCCCGCAAAGAGCUGUACACCCCAUUUUCUUCCAUUCUUCUUCUUUGCAGUUUCCUAAAACCCAAAUUUCACCAUCAAAAACUCCUAAAAAUGAUGGAUUUGGUGCGUUUACUUUUCAACAAUUUUUAGUAUUUUAAUCAUCUUUAGCAACUUUGUUUUAGGGCCAUUUGCUUUUCUUUUCGUUACAAUUAAGUCAUCAUAUGAUAAUAACAUUUAAUGUAAGUUAUACAAAUAGUCAUUUAAUUAUUAGCACAUUAUUAGUUUGGUCACUCAUGUUUAAAAAAAGUCUAAUUUAGUCACUAACGUUAUGGACAAUUGAUAUUUUUGUCAUUCCUCAUUCAAUCAUUAAUAGAAUGCUGAUGCAACCUUUUUUUAUUGGCAUAUUAAUAAAUUUAGCCUUUCAAUCUCUAUAAAUUCCAGUAAUUUGAUUUACACAUUAUGUUAACUUAAUCUUCAUUCUUAAUUUUUUUUUAAAACUUAAAAACUAAAAAUAUAUAUUUAAUUUUUUUUUCUAUAAAAUACAUAUACAAAAUUAUAAAAUACAUAAAAAUAUAAAAAUAUUUAUAAAUAAAUGAAUACUAUUUUUUUUCUUCAAAGAAAAUAUAGGGUUUAGUCUGAAUGAGUCAAUAUUAACUAACAUGACCAAAAUUUAGUGUGUAACAGUUUUCUGAGCUACCAAACACAGUCUUAGAAUAAAAAAAGAACAUAGAGCAGCAUUAACUUGACCACGAAGAGCUGUAGACCCCAUUUUCUUCCAUUCUAUUCUUUAAUUCUUCUCCUUCUUUGCAGUUUCCUUAAAACCAAAUCUCACCAUAAAAAACUCCUACUUUAUUGACCUCACUUCCAACCCAAUAUGCCACUUUUACUAAAGUGUUCAACUAUAUAAAGUUUUCAUUCGUAGGUGACUUGAAUGCAGGCAUAUGCAAGCAAGUAACUAACUGGAAAGGAAUUUGGUAAAUUUCUGAUUUGCAGUAUUUUUUUUCUUGAGCUUGGAAUGCUUCAAGCUAAUUAAUUAAAUUCUGUUUAGUGUUAUCCAGGAAGAAAUAGAUCCAGAAAAAAGGAACCUCGGAAGCCUGAACAGAACAUCACUCACAUGGAGGCUUCGCUAUAUAAUGCAGCAGCAGAAGGAAACAUUGAAGUAUUCAAUAAUAAACAGGGGCUUCAACUUGAGUCGCUAAAGACCCCAAACCAAGACAACGUGCUCCAUGUUAACUUGGCAACCGAGGAGACUGUCAAAUUCUCAAUAAUCAAAAUCUUCUCCGUAGGAUUUGUACCAGCCUAUCCGUUUUUGAAUUUAUUCGUUACUAUGAUAAAAAGAGAAAAAAAAUCAGAUUUUAUCGAACAAAUUCUCAGCAAGUGUCCGUCACUGCUAUUCCAAACGAAUGCUAAAGGUCAAACUCCUUUGCACGUUGCAGCAAGGUAUGGACAUUCUGCUAUUGUGAAACUUCUAAUCAAGUCCUGCGCAAAAGCUAUAGAUGGAGAUUUAGAGCUGGGAAUGGAUCAAGUAAGUGCAGUCAGGGAGAUGCUGAGGAUUACGGAUCAGGAAUCCAACACGGCUUUACAUGAAGCAGCAGGGUGUGGCAAUGUUGAAGUGGUGAAAGCAUUGUUGGAGUUUGAAGUCCCUGAUUUUCCGUAUUCUGCCAAUAAAAAACAGGAGACUCCACUUUAUAUUGCAGCUAAGAGAGGAGACGGCGGCGUGCUGAGUGUAAUAUUAGAUAAAUCAAAAUCAGCAGCUCAUGGCGGCCCCCACGGUAGAACAGCUUUGCAUGCAGCAGCUAUGGCUGGAGAUGCAGGUAUGUUGUUGAGUUAGUUCCAUUUUUUUUUAAUUUGAAAUAAAUAAAGAACAGGUCUAUUGACAUUUUUUUUUUUUGCUUGGAUUUAGAGGCAAUAAGGAUAAUAUUAGAGAAGAAGGGGAAUUUGACAAAGGAAAGAGAUGAAGAUGGACACACCCCUCUUCAUUAUGCUGCACACUUGGGUUCUAGAUUAUCAGUUGUGGAAGAACUGUUAAAAAGGGAUGUGUCAGCUGCCUAUAUAGGUGAUAAAAAGAGGGGGAUGACACCCCUUCUUAUGGCAGCCAGGGAAGGUAAUGGUGGAACAAGGGCAAAGAUUCUCUCUUUAUGUCCAGAUUGUUGCGAAAAAGUGGACAAUAAAGGUUUGAAUUUACUUCAUUAUACGGCUUUUAAAGACUGUCUUCCCAUCAGGGAGUUCUGUUUUUAAGCGUGGUGGUGUUGAGAUUGUAUAUGGAUCAGUUAGAAAUCUAACGGAGUUGGAAGGUGCCUGUAAAAUCUAAUGGUUUUGCAUUUCCAUGGCUACUGUUUUAUUAAUAUUUAAGUUUUGAGUUAACAUAUUUAAUAAACCUAUAAUACAAUCGGUUAAUGUGGGUGGCAUGACAGAAGCAAAUCAAAGAUUUGUUGGAAGAAAUUGAGAAUGAUCAAGUGGCAUAGGAACCAGUUCGUCACUUUCACUUACCAAGUGUUUCUAUAAAAAGAUUGGAGGCUAUAAGAAAUACUCAUUUAAUAGUGGCAGCACUUAUAGCCACCAUCACCUUCGCAGCGGUAAUAACUGUUCCUGGUGGUUUGGAGAGUGAAAAGGGGUCAAAGCAAGGUAAUCCCUUUUUGAUUCAUGAGGCAGCCUUUAAAGCAUUUGUUGUAAAUUGGCCUUUAUUUUCUCUGUUUCUGCCUGUUGGGAUUUGGAGAAUGAUAGAUGAAGGUUAACAGAGCUUGAGCAACAAUGCUGUAUGUUUGCUGGUGAAAUAAACAGAAUCGGGCUUGGGAACAAAGAAAAUGAAAAACAAGAAAAGAGAGUUUUGGAUGAAAUUUUGAAAAUGAUUUCAUUAACAUUGAUUGAAGGCACAAAGCCAAUACAUAAACCAGACAUUUAGCCGGUCAAAUCAAAACAAAUUGUCACCUAACAUACCUACUAUCACUAAGUAACAUUGGAACUUAUGAAAACAUUGCUUGCACACAUAGGUAUACUGAUUUAUCAAUCUAUCAGUACCUAAUUACAUCAAAACAAUAUCAAUUUACUUCAAAUCUGACUAAAUUACAAAGCGAUAUUUAAGGUAACAAAACGAAAUGAAAUACAAUAGCAGUAAUGUGCUUCAGCAGCUGCAUGCAUACUUCAUGUGUUGUAAGUGCGGCUUGAUCUGCUUGUUCAUACUUUAUGUGCUGUAAAUGCGGUAUCCAGGCCAACUUCAACACUCCUCCUUGGCUUGCAUGCUGCAUACUCCCAUUUUAGCUCUCAAAUGCACGAACCUUGAACACUAAUGGGCUUUGUUAAGAUAUCAGCAAGUUGUUCUUUAGAACUGCAAUGAAUUAGCUUCACUUCUUGAGCUUGCUCCAUCUCUCUAACAAAGUGAAAUUUGAUCUUGAAGUGUUUCAUUCUUCCAUGGAAUACUGAAUUCUUUGCAAUUGCAACAGCAGAUUGGUUGUCACAAUUGAUCUCUGUCGCUUCCCUUGGUGUAGAUUCAAGUCAGCCAUGAUUUUUCUUAUCCAAAUGGCUUGAUUGACAGCAAUAGCAGCUGCUACAUAUUCUGCUUCAGUAGUUGAUUGAGCAACAACAUUUUGCUUCUUCGAAUUCCAGCAAAAAAUGGCUUAUCCAAAAGUAAAAACAUACCUUGAUGUACUCUUCAUGUUAUCUAUCGAUCCAACCCAAUCACUAUCAGCAUAACCAACCACUUUCGUAUUUUUAGCUUUGCUAAAUAGCAUUCCAUAGCUCAAUGUACCUUUGAUGUACCUGAGAACUCUUUUGGUAGGUUGAAAGUGAUUUUCAUUGCAGCAAUGCAUGAAUCUAGAUAGCAGACUCACAAUAAACAUGAUGUCUGGUCUAGUGGCAGUAAGAUAUCGCAAACAACCUACCAAGCUCCUAUAGACAGAUUCACUAACCUGCUCAAAGUCACCUUGGCUCGAUAGUUUCUCUCUAAUGGCAACUUGUGUGUUUGAUGCCUUACAAUUUUGCAUGGAGAAUUUGUUCAGAAUCUUGGAGACAAAAGCCUUCUGACUUAGGAAGAUUCCAUGUUGUGUUUGAGUCGCUUCCAUACCAAGGAAGUAAGACAUUUGCCCCAAAUCUGACAUCUCGAACAUGUGUUCCAUCUUGGCUUUGAAAUCAGCUAGCAUUUCAUGAUCUCCUCCAGUUACUAGCAGGUUAUCAACGUAUAGGAACACUAUUAGUUGAGUUUCACUACCUUGCUUCUUCACAUACAAGGUAGGUUCACUGAUGCUUCUUUCAAAUCCAAGGCUAGCUAGGUAGCCAUCGAUCCUGCUAUACCAAACUCUUGGUGCUUGUUUCAAACAAUACAAGGCUUUCUUCAGUUUGUACACCUUGUCCUCUUCACCUGCCACUUUAAAACCUUCAGGUUGCUCAACAUAGAUUUUUUCAUCAAGAAACCCAUUGAGGAAUGCUAAUUUUACAUCAAGCUGAUGAAUUUUCCACUGCAUUUGUGCUGCUAAGGCAAUUAGCAGCCUUAUGGUGUCAAGCCUAGCUACUGGUGCAAAGGUUUCAAAGUAGUCAAUGCCGUACUUUUGGCUGAACCUUUUUACAACCAGCCUUGCUUUUAGUUUGCUCAAGCUUCCAUCAGCAUUGUGCUUGGCUCGAAACACCCAUUUCACCCUAAUAACCUUUCUAUUUGCUGGUCUCUCAACUAGCAGCCAAGUCUGAUUAUUUUCAGUCAUUCUGAUUUCAUCAGCCAUUGCCUAUUUCCAGCCUUGUUGAGCUUCAACUUCUUCGAAGCAGCUUGGUUCAACUGCUGCCACUUGAGCUAUUUCAUAAAUCGCAGCUAAUGGUCUAGUGCCCCUGACUGGUUCAUUAUCAAUGUCCAUUUCAAGGCCAUUUUGAUCAGCUUUAGUCUGAUCUGUCAGUAAAUCUUCAAAGACUGCCUCUGGUUCAUUCUUCUCUCAAUUCCAACUUGAAUUCUCAUCAAAGACUACAUCUUUGCUCACAAGCACUUUGUUGCAUGAAGGAUCUAGGAUUCUGUAGCCUUUCUUCAUACUGCUAUAUCCCAUCAGGAUGCCAGGUUAGGAUGCAGUGGUUUUCUUAUGAUUGAACUCGCAUUGAGUUUCAUAGUUCACUUCUCUUUUAUUUCCAUCUUUACAGAUAAUCCACCAAGUUAGGAUGCAGACUCGGCAUACAGAGGACUCGACUCGGAUUUUAUUUAUUAAAAUAUUUUGGAUUUAUUAUUCAAAAUUUUUCGUUAUUCAGGAACUAUAAUAUCUUAUUUAAAUCAUGGCAUGAGACUUAGGUUUUUGUUUAAUUUAUCAUGUAUGACAUAUAAUAUAAUUUAAUAUAUUAUUUUUAAUUAAUUAAGCAUGAAAUAUGAUUUUAAUAAAAUUAAGUUGAAAAUCAUUUUUCCAUUGCUAAAUUAUAGUUUAGUAUUGAGUUGUAAAUAAAUCAGAAAAUUUAACUAAUUUUCAAUCUCAUGUGUUAUACUGAAAAUAAGCUAAGUUUUCCAUAUUUUAAUUUGGUCAUUUUUUAAACCUUGAUUGCUAUUGGGCUAUUUCAGUGGCCGAUAUAAUCUCUCAAAUUUAGAUCUAAUGUAUAGGCUGAGUUGAAGAGGUUACAACAAGAUGCAAGAUUAAUGUUGUUUUGUUUGAAGUAUAAAAUUAGUAAAACACAUAGCAAGGAUAACAUUGUUGGAGAUUAUGGUAUGCUAAAAUGUUGAAGUAGGGAAUUUGACAAAGGAAAGAGAUGACACCUCAACAGUUUAUGAUGCACUUCGAUAUGAGUCAUCACGAGAAAUAUCAGUGUGAAAAGGUGUGUGUAUUUCUAUGACCAAGAGCUAUGGUUUUAUUAACAUAUAUAUAUAUAUAUAUAUAUAAUAGACCUACAUUACAAUAGAAUCGGCUAAUGUGGGUGGCAUGCCAUAAGCAAAUUGAAGAAUUGUUGAAAGAUAUUGCACUUGAAGAAGUAGCCAAGUUACCAUUUUUUCACAUUCCCUUAUUAACUGUCUCAGCAGAAAGCUUGGAGAAGACAGGAGAUAUUCAUUUAGUAGUGGCGGCAUUUAUAGCCACUGUGGCAUUCGUAGCAACCAUAACUGUUCCAAGUGAUUUCAAGGGUGAAAAAAGGUCAGAGCGGGGAACUCCUUUUCUAAUUUACGAGGCAGCCUUUAAAGCAUUUGUUAUGCAUUGGCCUUUAUUCUCUUUGUUUUUGCCCUCUCCAUCCACUUUGGAAUUUUGGAUCCUCUUUUAUCAAAAAUAAAUUAUUGAGAUAUUAAUAUAAUUUUAUAUUAAACCCAGUUCAUGUCUAAUGUCCUUGGUGACUGCUUUCCACAUAGGUGGUUAUGUGAUUUUAAAACCUUCUCAUAGACUUGCAUAUUGUUUCAUCUGCCCUGCCUUUUUUGUUCAAUUCUUCUCCUUCUUUGCCAAGUAUUUUCUUUACAGUUUCCUUAAACCCAAAUUUCACCGUAAAAAACUCCUCCUUUAUUGACCUGACCUCUAACCAGAGAUUUUCGUUUUGUUUAAAGUAAAAUUAUAAAGUUAAUAAAGCACAAAGCAAGAAUAGUACUUAGGGCAGCAUCGCCUUGACCACAAAGAGCUGUUCACCCCAUUUUCUUCCCUUCUUUUUCUUCAAUUCUUCUUCUUUGCCAAGUGUUUUCUUUACAGUUUCCUUAAACCCAAAUUUCACCAUAAAACCUCCUACUUUAUUGACCUGACCUCUAACCCUGUAUAUUACUAUUACUAAAGUGUUCAAGUAUGAAACUAUAUAUAUAUAGUUGUAGGUGACUUGAAUGGAGGAUAUGCAAGCAACAAACAAAUAGGUAUGGCAUUUGGUAAAUUUCUUAAUUUGCAGUUUUUUUUUUUCUUGAGCUUGGGAUGUUUCAAGAUAAUUAAUUAAAUUUUGUUUGGUGUUAUAUCCAGGUAGAAAUAGAUCAACAAAAAUGGGACCUCAGGAGCCUGAAGAGAACAUCAGUCACAUGGAUGCUUCGCUCUAUAAGGCAGCAGCAGAAGGCAACAUUGAAGUAUUCAAUAAUAAGCAGGGACUUCAACUUGAGUCGCUAAAGACCCCAAACCAUGACAACGUCCUCCAUGUUAACUUGGCAACCCAGGAGACUGCCGCCUGGCUUUUAAACAGAUUUCACUCAUGCGAUCCGGUUAUGAGUUUUUUCAUUACUAUGAUAAAAAGAGAAAAAAGAUCAGAUUUUAUCGAACAAAUUCUCAGCAAGUGUCCGUCACUGCUACUCCAAACGAAUGCUAAAGGUCAAACUCCUUUACACGUUGCAGCAAGGAAUGGACAUUCUGCUAUUGUGAAACUUCUAAUCAAGUUUUGCGCAAAAGCUAGAGAUGGAGAUUUAGAGAAGCUGGGAAUGGAUCAAGUAAAUGCAGUGAGGGAGAUGCUGAGGAUUACGGAUCAGGAAUCCAACAUGGCUUUACACGAAGCAGCACGUUGUGGCAAUGUUGAAGUGGCGAAAGCAUUGUUGGAGUUUGAAGACCCUGAAUUUCCGUAUUCUGCCAACAAAAAACAGGAGACUCCACUUUACAUAGCAGCUAGGAGGAGAGGAUCUGGGCGCUUGUUGACUCUAUUAUUAGAUAAAUUCAAAUCAACUGCUCAUGGCGGCCCUCACGGUAGAACAGCUUUGCAUGCAGCAGCUAUGGCUGGUGAUGCAGGUAUGUUGUUGAGUUAGUUCCAUUUUUUCUUUUUUUGAAAUAAAUAGAGAACAGGUCUAUUGAUUUUUUUUUUUUUUUUUGCUUGGAUUUAGAGGCAAUAAAGGUAAUAUUAAAUAAGAAGGGAAAUUUGACAAAGGAAAGAGAUGAAGAUGGACACACCCCUCUCCAUUAUGCUGCACACCUUGGUAAUAGAUUGUCAGUUGUGAAAGAACUGUUAAAAAGGGAUGUAACAGCUGCCUAUAUAGGUGAUAAAAUGAGGGGGAUGGCACCCCUUCUUAUGGCAGCGAGGCAAGGUCAUCUUUUAACAGUUUCAAAGAUUCUCUCUUUAUGUCCAGAUUGUUGUGAAAAAGUGGACAACAAAAGUUUGAAUGUACUUCAUUAUCUGGCUUUUAGAGGCUCUCCCUCUCCAUUUGGGAAUUCUGUUUUCAAGAGUGGUCAUAUUGAGAUUGUAUACGGAUCAGUCAAAACUCUAAUGGAGUUGGAAGGUGCCUUUGGAAUGACACCUCAAGAUGUUGAUAAUGCAGUUCGAUCUCAGAAACAUCAUCAUAAACAGGUAGUUGUGUGUACAUAUUACAUUUCUAUAGCUAUGUUUUUAUUAAUAUUUAAAAUUUUGAAUUAACAUAUUUAAUAAAUCUACAAUACAAUGGGCUAACGUGGCGGCAUGGCAGAAGCAAAUCAAAGAAUUGUUGGAAGAAAUUGAGAAUGAUCAAGUGGCGGAGGAACCAGUUCAUCACUUUACCGUACGAAAUAAUUCUAUAGAAAGUUUGGAGAAGACAGGAAAUGCUCAUUUAGUAGCUGCAGCACUUAUAGCCACCGUCGCAUUUGCAGCAGCAAUAACUGUUCCUGGUGGUUUGGAGAGUGAAAAAGGGUCAAAUCGAGGCACUCCCAUUUUGAUUCAAGAGGCAGCCUUUAAAGCAUUUGUUGUAACAAAUGCAAUGGCCUUUAUUUUCUCUGUUUCUGCCCUCACCACCUACUUUGGGGUUCUGGAUCAUCUUUUUACACGAUUUAUUUUUUGGCGUGAAGCAAUAAUUUUAAAUCGAACUUGGUCUGUUUCUAUGCUCCUUAACUAUGCAACGCUUGCAAUGGUAAUUGCUUUCAGCACGGGUAGUUAUGUGGUCUUAAAACCUUCCCACGAACUUGCCAUUGUUUCAUAUCUCAUAUGCCCUGCCUUUUUACUUUGUAAGUGGACAGCUUUGUUUGUAAUUUUGAGUCAUUCAAUACAUAUUUAAAAUAUAAAUAUGAUAAUAUUACUUUAUGGAUUAUUACAAUGUUGUUUCAAUUAUUAUAAAUUCAAAAAUAUUUUAUUUCCUUUUAAUAGUUUUUCAAAUAUUAAAUAUAUAACGCAAAAUAUAUCUAUAUAUAUAUAUAUUUUUUGUUUCUCAUGAAAAAUAGAUAUCAAUCAUGCUUUUCAAGUUUUCAUUAUUGAAAACAAAAUUUUAUUUCUAGUUAUCAAACUUGAUUUUAAAUUUUCAAAAAAUAGAAAAUAAAAAUAUUUUCAGAAACCUAACAAAGCUUAACUUUUUUUUUUUUGUUAAUAUACCAUUUGGUAUUUGAGUUAGUUUUAUUGUUCAAUUUGAUAAUUAAUUUCGGCUUCAAUAUUUAAUUUGAUAUCUAAACCAAAUGGUUUCAUAAGGCCUAAUAAAUAUUUGACAGGUCUACUCUAAAAAAUAGACGUGGGUAUUCUAAUUGAGACAAAAAAAAAAAAGAAGAAGCUCAAGUAUUAAAUUGAACUUUUUUAAAGUUAAACUCGGAUACUUAACUAUGACAAAAAGAAACUCAAGUAUCAAAGUAAAAAAAUUAAGUACAAAAUUGAACAUUCAAACCAAAUUCAUAUACAAAAUUAUAAAAAAUAAUCUUUUAAUACUAAAUUAAAAUUUGAAGUGAAAUUCAAGUAUCAAAUAAUAUAUUAACUCUUCUUUUUCUCUUAGAUCCUCACCUUGAAAAAAGCUAAUUAAGGUUAUUUGUUUUACAUUUACAACUUAAAAUUUUCAUAUAAAUAGAUUCUGUAUUUAUAAAAAUUUAUUUUUAUUAAAGAUUAAAUAAGAUUUAAAUGGUGUGUUGUUCUAAAGUUCACAAAUUUUUAUUUAAAAUAAUUACAUAAAAGUAAUAAAAAUUCAAAAUUUCACACCAACAAUAUAAAGUUAAAAAAUCACACAUAAAAAAUAGCAUUGCUAAAGAUUCUGCUUUACUAAAUUGUUUAAGUAAGGAAUUAUACAUGCCAUGGUGCUUUCUUUGUACCAAUGAUCUCUUUGGAUGGGUGAUGUGUUUAUUUACGAUUAGUAUAAAAAUAACAAUGUAAUACCUCAAAUCCGGUCUAGACGUUAUGACCGAAUAGGACUACAAGAGUUCAUCCAUCCAAUCACACCAAUAUGUGGCGGUGUGCCACUCAUAAAUAUGUAGCUGAGCUUCCAUAUAGAAAUUUGCUCUAGUCGCCAUAUAUUUGCGGUAAAAACUGUCAUAUAACACUUCCUCUAUUUUAUCAUAACCCAACUCAAUGCAUAUGUAAAAUCACGUUAACAUUCAUACAUAUAAUAUAGAUCGUAUGGCAUGCAUGCAUAAAUAGAUAUUAUACAAAGCAUAACACAACACAUAACUUAUACAGAUCAUAACAGAUUGAGAUUAUGCUGCACACAGAGGUUGCAAUUUUGUCGUGGAAGAACUGUUAAAAAGGGAUGUAUCAGCUGCCUAUGUAAGUGACAAAAAGAGGGGGAUGACACCCCUUCUUAUGGCAGCCAAGCAAGGUUAUCUUUUAACAGUUUCAAAGAUUCUCUCUUUUAUGUCCAGAUUGUUGUGAAAAAGUCGACAACAAAGGUUUGAAUUUACUUCAUUAUCAGGCUUUUAGAGUGUCAUCUUUUCAAGCUUGGUGGUAUUGGGAUUGCAUAUGGAUCGGUCAGAAAUUUAAUGGAGUUGGAAGGUGCCUUUGGAAUGACACCUCAAGAAGUUUAUAAUGCACUUCAAUAUGAGAAACAUCAUCAUAAACAGGUUUAUAAUCAAUGAUUUUUUUAUAUCUCAUCCGCACUUCAUUUUGGUGGCCUCCUCCACAUGGAUGGUUAAAGUUUAAUGUGUGUGGGAUUGCUAAAGAAGAUAGAGCAGGUUGUCGAGGUGUCUUGAGAGAUAAGGAGGGUGUCGCAAGAGCAUUAUUUUCUGGUUCAGUAGCAGCAAAUGAUGCCGAUGUGGCUGAGAUUGGUGCGGUGAAGAUUGCUCUGUAAGUAUUUUUUAGCUAUGAACUGGAAGAUUAAUGAUUCUUUAUUUAUUGAACUUGGUUCAUUGGUGGUGUUUUCUUGGUGUGCUAACAAGGUAAUGAGACCAUGGUCUCUUCAAGCAAUUUUUGCAGGUAUUGAAAAUGACAUGUUAAAGGCCGGAAAUGUUGUAUUCUCAUUGGCGGAUAAGAAAGGUAACGAGAUGGCAUCUUCCUUGGCAAUUGCAGGUUAUAAUCGGGUGAAAAUGUUUAAAGCUUGGUGAUGAAUUUUUGUUUUGUUGCAUUCAUAGGUUUAUUAGAGUUGGAAUGCGUUUUAAUUUUGAUUGCUGUAAUACUGAAAUUUUUGUUGUUGUUCUGUUCGUCUUUGACAACAGUACAGCUCGAAUGGAGCCAAAAAAAAAAAAAAAAGGGAAUGUUACAUCUUUGAAUAAGCAUUACUUUAAUUUUCAGUUAUAAUUAAAAAUUAGUUUGACAAAUCAUUGAAAAAUAUGAGAAUUUUAAGUUUAAGAAAAACACAAAGUUUUAUUUAAAAGUGGGAAGUCGUCCUCAACUUUUCUAGUUAGCUGCGAUUAGACACAUUUAAAAUCAAAAUUCUUUUUUAAAAAGAUAAAAUUGAGUUUACAAUAUAAAUCCAAACAAAAAUGUUUAGGUUAAUUAGAGAAUUUGCUAUACGAAAGGAAGAUUUUAGCACCCUCAUGACGCCAAAAAUUAAUUCCUUGUUAAAUAUGUGUUGUCUACAUUCGUAAAUUAAAACUCAUAUCUUGGUUUUUGAUUAUGAUCCAAUUUUUUGAUAAAUUAAAAAUAAAUAUUAAAUGAGUGAAUCAAUUUUUUAAUAGCAAAACAAAGAUAAUGAUCAAGAUGUAGCAUUUUCAAAAUUCAGGGGCCCUUUUUGAGAUUUUCCAUUUAUUUUUCAUCAUGUUUAAAAGAGAAAAGUUAUAAAUUUUGAAGUCAGUAGCCCAAUAUUUAUUAAGCCCAAAUCAAAUUUUAAAAUUGUGAAAUUGCAUUUAAUAGAAAGCAAUAACAUUUCAAAAGCUAAUAAAUAUUAACAAAAAUCGGAUCCGAUAUCAACAACAUAAAAUUUGAUAUUAUCAUGUAAGCAGCUAUUUUUAAAUAUUUAAUAUUUUAGUCAAUAUUUUUGUUAAAAAAAUCAAUUUGAUUGCUUUUGAAAGGUUUAUGGCUAAAUUCGAGUCCUUUUUUAAAAGAUUGAUGACCAAAUUUAGCUCAAGAAAAGAAUAAGGGUUAAAUUUAACUCAAAAAAAGAAUAAGGGCCAAAUUGAUAAAAAAAAUUUACAUAAAUACUACGAGCUAAUUUUAUCAUUAUGCCUAAUGAAAAUUAAGUUGUAUACUUUUAUGAUAGUAAAAAAAAUGUAAUUUCAUCAUUUUAAUAGCUUAAAUCUUUAUAAUAUUUAAAAGAUUAAAUCAAAUAUUUAUAAUUUUUAGAAGGUCAAAAUGUAAUUUUAUCAUUAUUAAUUUAAAAUUUUGUAAAUUAUAGAUAGGUUAAAAAGAGAGACCUAUUGUCCCCUUGGCUCCACCCCUAAACCCAUACGUUUUCAUCCAACUUUGAAAGUCCUUUCAAGCUUUCCAAUCUAUUAUAUUUGAUGUCUCAACGAUCCUAACUCUCGACCAAAUAAUCUUUUUCACUAUUUUUAAACUAAUAUACUUAGGAUUGAGGUAGAAUAAGGACAUGGUGAACUCCAAAAGUAAAUUAAUUUUUAAAUGGAUUUAAGACUAAUUCAUUUUGUGUCAAGUCUACAGUAUUAUUAGUUCAUAUUAACACAUCUCUGUCUUCACUUGAAAGUUAAUCUUACUCCGGCGCAAUCAAGACAAAUUAUCUCUCAUUAUUAGAUUUUAGACAACGUAUAAAUCUCUUUCUCUUCGUAAUUCUAUAGAUUACAAGUCAUGUAUUUAAAUUAUCGACUAAUGGAAAUUGUCUUUUGCAUACAAAACUAAAUUUGUGAUGCAACUCCGAAUUAAUUUAACAUAGGAAAAGAAGGGAGUGCGGCUUCCAUGCAGCAACGACCAAAGCCAAAGAGAAGGCGUGCUGCCUAAUUUCUUGCCCUUCUCAUCCACACAAUUUCUUGACUUUUCUUGUGUUUCUCAUCCACACAAUUAUUUUAUAUUUUAGUAACACAUUUUGAUUUUGUUUCCCUUGUAAAUAUUUAAAAAUAUAUAAAUCUAAGUAUUUACAUGUUUGAUAAAUAAAUUGUUUGUAUAAAAAAAGUGAAUUUUAAAUUAUGUCAUAAUAGUUACAAUAUUAAUGGUUUGCGAAAUUUAAUUAAAAUUAAAAUUCGUUUAUAUAAUUAAACAAAUUAAAGUUAAUACAUGAUUUUGAUUUUUAUUUCUUUGCAUUUUCGUGAAAAAAGUAUUGACUUCACCAAAAAGAGCUGGAGAGCUCAUUUUCUUCCAUUCUUCUCCUUCUUUGCAGUUUCCUUAAACCCGAAUUUCACCAUAAAAAACUCCUAAAAAUGAUGGAUUAGGUGCAUCUACUUUUCAACAAUUGUUAGUAUUUUAACCAUCUUUAUUAACUUUGUUUUAGGGACAUUUGCUUUCCUUUUCGUUUCAAUUAAGUCAUCAUAUGAUAAUAACAUUUAAUGUAAGUUAUACAAAUAGCCAUUUAAUUAUUAGCACAUUAUUAUUUUGGUCACUCGUGUUUAAAAAAGUUUAAUUUAGUCACUAAUAUUAUGGACAAUUGAUAUUUUUGUCAUUCCUCGUUCAAUUAUUAAUAGAAUGUUGAUGCAACUUUUUUAUUGGCAUAUUAAUAAAUUUAGCUUUUCAAUCUCUAUAAAUUUUAUUAAUUUGAUCUUAAUUCUAAAAAAUAAAUUUAACCCUUAACUUUACAAAUUAUGUUAAUUUAAUCUUGAUUCUUAAAAUUUUAAAAAAUAAAAAUAUAUAUUUAAAAGUUUUUUAUAAAAUACAUAUACAAAAUUAUAAAAUGCAUACAAAAAUAUAAAAAUAUUUAUAAAUAAAUGAAUACUAAUUUUUUUCUUCAAAGAAAUCCUUCAAAGAAAAUCUAGGGUUUAGUCUGAAUGAGUCAAUAUUAACUAACAUGACCAAAAUUUAGUCUGUAACAGUUUUCUGAGCUACCAAACACCGUCUUAGAAUAAAAAAGAGCAUAGGGCAGCAUUAACUUGACCACGAAGAGCUCUAGACCCCAUUUUCUUCCAUUAUUUUCUUUAAUUCUUCUCCUUCUUUGCAGUUUCCUUAAAACCAAAUUUCACCAUAAAAAACCUCCUACUUUAUUGACCUCACUUCUAACCCAAUAUAUCACUAUUAUUAUUACUAAAGUGUUCAACCAUAUAUGGUUGCCAGUAGUUGACUUGAAUGCAGGAUUUGCAAGCAAGUAACUAACUGGUAUGGCAUUCGGUAAAUUUCUGAUUUUGCAGUACUUUUUUCUUGAGCUUCGAAUGUUUCAAGCUAAUUAAUUCAAUUUUGUUUGGUGUUAUCCAGGAAGAAAUAGAUCAACAAAAAUGGGACCUGAAGAGCCUGAACAGAACAUCACUCACAUGGAUGCUUCGCUGUAUAAGGCAGCAGUAGAAGGCAACAUUGAAGAAUUCAAUAAUAAGCAGGGGCCUCAGCUUGAGUCGCUAAAGACCCCAAACCAUGACAACGUGCUCCAUCUUAACUUGGCAACCCAGGAGAAUGCUACCUUGCUUUUUAACAUAUUUCUCUCAAUAAUCAAAUUCUUCCCCGUACUAUAUGGAUGCUUCUCUCCGCCUAUGCGUGAUUUAAUUACUAUUAUAAGAGGAGAAAAAAGAUCAGAUUUUAUCGAACAAAUUCUCAGCAAGUGUCCGUCAAUGCUACUCCAAACGAAUGCUAAAGGCCAAACUCCUUUGCACGUUGCAGCAAGGUAUGGUCAUUCUGCUAUUGUGAAACUUCUAAUCAAGUCUUGUGCAAAAGCUAGAGAUGGAGAUUUAGAGAAGCUGGGAAUGGAUCAAGUAAAUGCAGUGAGGGGGAUGCUGAGGAUUAGGGAUCAGGAAUCCAACACGGCUUUACAUGAAGCAGCACGAUGUGGCAAUGUUGAAGUGGUAAAAGCAUUGUUGGAGUUUGAAGAACCUGAUUUUCCGUAUUCUGCCAAUAAAAAACAGGAGGCUCCACUUUACAUAGCUGCUAGGAGAGGAGACGGAGGCAUGCUGAGUAUACUAUUAGAUAAAUCAAAAUCAACAGCUCAUGGCGGCCCCCACGGUAGAACAGCUUUGCAUGCAGCAGCUAUGGCUGGAGAUGCAGGUAUGUUGUUGAGUUGGUUCCAAUUUUUUUUAAAAAAAAUUUGAAAUAAAUAAAGAACAGGUCUAUUGGCAAUUUUUUUUUUUUGCUUGGAUUUAGAGGCAAUAAGGAUAAUAUUAGAGAAGAAGGGGAAUUUGACAAAGGAAAGAGAUGAAGGUGGACACACCCCUCUUCAUUAUGCUGCACACUUGGGUUCUAGAUUAUCAGUUGUGGAAGAACUGUUAAAAAGGGAUGUUUCAGCUGCCUACAUAGGUGAUAAAAAGAGGGGGAUGACACCCCUUCUUAUGGCAGCCAGGCAAGGUUAUGGUGGAACAUGUUCAAAGAUUCUCUCUUUAUGUCCAGAUUGUUGCGAAAAAGUGGACAACUAUGGUUUGAAUUUACUUCAUUAUGCGGCUUUUAGAGACUCUGUCUUCCCACUAGGGAGUUCUGUUUUCAAGCGUGGUGGUGCUGAGAUUGUAUAUGGAUCAGUUAGAAAUCUAAUGGAGUUGGAAGGUGCCUUUGGAAUCACACCUCAGGAAGCUCAUAAUAUCAGUUCGAUCUAUGAAACAACAUCAUAAACAGGUGUGUGUGUAUAGAUAUUGCAUUUCCAUGGCUAUGGUUUUAUUAAUAUUUAAGUUUUGAAUUAACAUAUUUAAUAAACCUACAAUACACUCGGUUAAUGUGGGUGGCAUGACAGAAGCAAAUCAAAGAAUUGUUGGAAGAAUUGGAGAACGAUCAAGUGGCAGAGGAAGCCGUUCGUCACUUUCGCUUACCAAAUGUUUCUACAGAAACAUUGGAGGCUAUAAGAAAUACUCAUUUAAUAGUGGCAGCACUUAUAGCCACCGUCACCUUCGCAGCGGCAAUAACUGUUCCUGGUGGUUUGGAGAGUGAAAAAGGGUCAAAGCAAGGCACUCCCUUUUUGAUUCAUGAGGCAGCCUUUAAAGUAUUUGUUGUAACAAACGCAUUGGCCUUUAUUUUCUCUGUUUCUGCCCUCU